GUUGGGGCAGGUGAUUAUGGUUAUACAAUUUUUGUCGAUCAGGUGUUUGGUUUUGAUUGGGCCAGGCAUAGAGGUUGUAGAGAGAUGAUUGAGUAAUGCUUUCCCUGUUCUUUUCGUGACAAAGAAAGGUUUUUUGGCUAGCUUGGGUGUGUGUUAUUGUGGAGGCCUUGGGUUGAGAGAAACAAUAGAAUUAUUAGAGGUUUUUGAGAGGUCUCUGAGUGAGGUGUUGUCCUGUAAUAGAUUCAACGUGUCCCUUUGGAUUUUUGUGUAAAAGUUGUCGUUUUUUUUUUGUGUGUGUUUUGCUACGUUUUAUUUUGUUUGAUUGAAAGCCAUGGUUCCUUUCUUGUGGGUUCUUCUUUAAAGUAGGUCUAUGUAUUCUUUUUGUUUUUCUCAAUGAGAGAGAGAGUGAUCAAAACUUAAGAGGCCAUUUUUUGCUUCUCUAUCAUUAAAUUUCUUUUUCCGGAUGCUCUUCCUUUCCAUUUAUAUGUGAUUGCUUAUUUUGGACAAGAAUUGGAAAUAAAUUGUUUAGGUUGCCUCUUUUUUUUUAAAUGAAACUAUGUUUUCCCCUUUCUCCCAAGGGCCUUGGCUCCUUUUGAGUCUCAUUGUUUCUGUGAGGCCUACAAACUAAUUCUGUUGUCUUAAUUCUCAACCUUUCACUGUAAAACAUGCUAUCGUUCCUGGCUAUGUUCAAAAUUUACUUCACCCUUAUAUGUGCUGACUGAAGGAGCUCUCUACAGAUGGCAGAGCAUGUGGCAGUCACACCAUCACCAUGUAUCAAGCUACAAAUUUGGAGAGCUCCAUUCAAAGUGAAAAGCCCCGCACUAUGCAAUCUCAGGUUUAAAAAAGAACAGAGGUUAACUGAUUUUUCUUAUUUGCUAACCUUUAGUUUUAUUUUAUCUAAGACAACCCUUCUUCCAUUUUCUGCAUUCAAUAUAAGCCCUAAUUAUGUUUGUUUUGUUUUUUUUCUUUUCUUGUGUAUCUAGUCUAGGAGUCUUGGUAAGAUAUGGUUAGGAAGUGAUUAUUAAACUGUGAACUUAUUUUUAUGUGCACUAUUGCUGAGGGGUUAGAGAUAAAAUAAGUAUAAACUGAAUGCAUUGUUCAUAUUGAUUCUUCAUAUGUAGAAAGUACAAUUGACAUUCUUUCAUUUUUUGUAUUCUAGAAAAUCCUCUUCUGAGAGCUAUAAGUUCAUUAGGAUCUCAACUUGGAGAAGCCAUGAGCUUAUUGGUUCUUGUGGCUCAAACUUAAUUGUAAAUCCUGCUCCCAGGAAGACCUUCAGAGAGCAUGCUUACCUAAGGUCUUUGGUAAAUGUCGAUGGAACAACAGCCUCCGAGGCAAUUUUUGUUGAUCAAUUGCUUUUGAUGACCAGUAUAUUUCUAACAUAUAUGGCUGGAGUAAUACCUGUACCAAAGUCUAAUCAACGUGGAAAUAUCAACUCUCAGACCAAUUCAGUCUUAGAUAACCAAACCUUUUCUGGUAGGUAAGGGUGCACAGUUUACAAGUUUGAGAUCUGUUGUUGCUAACUAACAUAAUUCACUGUUUUCUCCAUUGUUAUUUGUUGUGUAUAUCUGCACUUUUUGUCUGCUUCGGUUUAUUUUGAGGUUUCAUAUUUUAUUUGUAUAUAUUUAUUAUUGCAGUGGCAUGAAGACUGAUGGUCAAAUUAAUCCGAAGCAUGCAUUAGAUGUAGUUAAAGGAAAAAUUUUGGAUUUUCUAGAUGCUUUUGAACGUAGGAAAAGUAUGGAAACCGAUGUUCUCGAAUUUACAGAAUGUCAGGCCAAGCGACCCCUAUGCUUGAAUGCAAUUGGUGAGGGUCCGAGGUUAAGAUUGCUUUGGGCUUCUUUUCAACUAAUCGAGGAAGAGGCAGGCAUCUAACUGUACUGUACCCUCUUGUCACAUUAUAUUCUAUACGUUUGUUUUAAUGUUUGGGUGGUUUUUACUUGUUACGACGAACUUACUUGAACAAGAUUUGUUCUAUAGGUUGUACAACUGUGCCGUUGAGUUCCAAGGUUGUUACUUGUUAGGUUAAAUAGUUUAUAAAUUUGAGAUUGUAAUAUAAAUUUGUUUAUUGGUGUUGAAACUUGUAGAUUGAUGAGAAAAGGAAUCUACUUUUCCUUGUUCUUUCCAGAAUCCCUUAACUACAAAUCAUUUAGUUUUAACAAUAGCCUAUUGUUGUACAUUCUGUUCCUUACGUGGGAUCUACAAAUUUUCGUUGAGCUGUGUUAUGUGUUGUGUGUGCUUGUUUUUUUUAUAAUUUUUUUAAAAAAUAUGAAAUUAUAUGAUGAUAUCUUCAUAAGUGCUUGCUUCCACAACUCCGGAAGUAGGGGUCUUCACCCCAUUCAUCCAAAGAAUUUGGCCUUGCUUUUUAAGUAUAUGUCCGCUCAGUAGUUGAGUGACAAGUAUUCCAAUGGACAAUCUGCAUGAGCAAAGAAUAAAUGAUCUUGGCACUCUUUCUUUGAAACUGCCUGGCCACUAAGCUCACCUAUAGGUUCCAGCUUUCAUUCUCUCUCCAAGUGGGUAUCCACCAAAAGCUUAAUUACUUUCCUUGCUUUCAUGAGACUUUAGUUUAUCGAACAAUUUGGCAAUUUUUUUUUAGGAAUUUGAAAAUUUUCAGUAUUCAAUUUCAUUGUGCAAAAUUUUGCAUCCUUUGUUAAUUUGAUAUCUGUUCUGCAGGUCAACAAUAUUUCCAAUGCUACUAUUCAGAGCAUGGAUGAUUUGUCUAAAAUAUUUUCUGAAUUUAUCCUAAAAUCCCCUCGACCUGUAUGCAUGUCUUGGCUGAGAAACGAACUGUCGGUGGAAAAUAAUGAUUCUAGUAAGGUACUUCCUGGAAUAAAUUUUAUCUUCCAAAUCUGCUUUUCUAGUCAUUUUCUCUUAGCUUUACUAGUUAACACUCUUGCCUUUUCCUUUCCUUGAAUGUCUACAGGCAUUUCUUUCUUUGAUGUCUGAAAAAUUUAAGGCAGAAGACAACAUUUUACCAGGAAUUAAGAAGUCUGGCAAGGAAGAGCUGUUUGCAGAAUUGAUGCACUUUCUUAGUUUUGGUGCUCGCAGGUACUUUGUUUACUUAAUCUUGCUCCAAGUUUCGGAAGUUCUAUCACAUUCGCGAUGUCUAGGCUAUUCUGUAUAUUCAAAGGGAAAUCAGAAUUCCAUUUUGGUACUCUCUAAUUCUUGCCUGCUUGGUAGGGCUGGGUAGGGCUUCAAUACUGUUAGCUUGUUUAAUUUGUGGCUAGAAUAUUUAUGUUAUGCACAACUUUUUUCACUAAAAGAAACAAAUGAUUUCAUAAAAAUUAUUUAUAAUAUAUAAACAUCUAAUUAUUGGUUACCUAUUCAGUAUGAAAAACAAGAAACAUGUAUAAAUCUAAUGAAAUGUUUACCAAAAAACAGAUCAACUUUUUUGUGACUUAUUAUUAUUAUGAUUAUUUAUAGGAAACUGUUAGGCCCCUGAUUAUCCAUACAUACAAACGAAAGGGUAAGAAAGUAUUUACCCGUAAGAGACAGCUAUGGAAGAGAGUAUAGGAGAGGGGAAAAUAUCUGAUGGGACCCACUAAUGAUGAGGUAAAGAAUGUUUUGGGGAUUGAUGUAGGCAGGUUUUAUUUUGGUAACAGCUGCUGUGGCUUUUAGAGGGAGAGGUUGCCAACCUUUUUGAAGGAGCUGAACGUUAUUAUCAUUUCUUUGUAAUUCCUUGCAUUUGGUUCUUUCUGCUUAGCUUGUAAGAACUUAUUUCAAUUGCAAUAUAUCUGUUAAGGUACCUUGUACUGAAACUCAGAAAAACUCCCAGACAACAAUAACAAGAUAAUAAAACAAAGAAAUACUCUGAUUAAUCUAUUGAUAGAGCAAUAUAUCCAGUUCACAACAUAACAUGAGAAUUCGAGGAAAGAAGAGUUAAAAGGAAAAUAAAGACAACAAGCAUAUAGUGCCCAGCUCCUUUGAGAACGCUGGAAUCCUCUCCCUAAAAGCCUUUAGCAGCUUUUACCUAAAAGAGGCCUAGGGUGACAAUCCCAAAACAUUCCUUAUUUAUACUAACAUUCAAGUGAGACCCACAGCCUUUUCUCCUCUAUCAAUUUGUCUCUCCUGGUACAGCCACACAUAUAUUUCCUCUCUUGCCCCUUCUUUUAUAAGUAUGCAAAUUUGGGGGUUUAACAGUAUCUCAACAGAGUGCUGCCUCUCUUUCUACUAUUGUUGAGUUUCUUAGUUUCAGGUUGGAGAAUCCUAAUAGAAACAUAAACCAAUUUAUUGAUUACUGAAAUUGAUUACAAAAGAAUUAUUAUUAAGAGUCUUUUUUUUUUUGCAAUGAAAACAGCACUUUUCAUUGAUGGAUAGGAGUUAGAGGGGUCAACAGACACACCUGAAUAUCUCAACUAGGUUGGUACACCCAUAGCACCCUCAUCAUCUCCCAUUAUCAGAGUAUAAUUACAAAAAAAACACCUCAGUGAUAAAAGAGUGUAGAUAAGCUUUAAUUACAAAAUGGAGGAGAUAAAUUACUCCAAGAUAAAAGUUGAAGAUGAAGUAAAAUCCUUCGGUGCUUAUCUGAGAAAGCUCAAGCAUUUCUUUCCAUCGUAAUUUCAAUAAAAAGCUGUAAUAAAGUUGCACCAAAGAAAUUUGUUCUCUUUUUUAAACAGAUGUAGAUGGUGAAGAGUGAAGACCGCCUUUGGUCAUGUAAUGUAAUAAACCAGCCAAAAGACUCGUAGAAAUGUCCAGAAUGCUGAAAAUACCAAUCUGUCUCAUGAUUCUUCAUGCCAAGGUGACAGAAACUUGGUGAGAUAGCUAGCCAAGGAGAUCUUCGUUAGAGCUAUUCACAUGUAUUAAGCAAGCAUGGCUUAGGUCUCAAAUCAAGAAUUUUGCCUUUUUGGGAUUAGUACCAUUUGCAAGAUUUUGAUUAGAUGUGGGUCUCUUAGUUAAUGAGCUAGAAGGAACGUGCUCUCCAAAGACCAAAUAUCAAAAGUCAUUGAUUAGUUGUAACAAAGGGCGGAAGAAGGGAAGGUGAGGCUUAUUACCCAAUUUCCACCUCAUUAAGAUUUCUUAUGAAUAAAUUCCAUAAUCUUGUAAUUGGAUUCUAUACGUCAAUGAUGGUAGCUUCCCUUUUCUAGUGUAAGAUGUGAUAAAUAAUAGAAUGUUUUAGUUAAAGAUUUUGGCUCCGAGACCAAAAAAUCCUUCAGAAUAGAGUUUUGUCUCCCCUUACAACGCCAGAGUCUAAAUGCAAUAUGACUAUGGACACGAUGCCUCAAUUUUUCAACAGGCUUCCAAGGCCUUUUGAUGAAGAUGUGGACUUUUCUCCCGGCUUGUAGUUGAACUGGGUUGUAAUACAUAUUAGCAACAAUUUUUCUCUGCGGAGCUCCUUUUCGAUAAAAGCAUCAAAUCCAUUUGGUGAACAGGGAAAUACUUUUCAGAUGAUUAUAAAAAAUUCCCCAUCCCCUUCCUCUAUGGGAGCUUAAAUGGUAAACCAUUUGACCAGAUGACAUCCUUUUUUCAUUCCUAUCAUUAUUCACAAAUUGAAAAAGAAGAGAUUGAACAGUUGGUGAGGAAGAUAUUGGUUGGGAUAAUGCAUCAAAGAAUCGGUUCUUUCUCCAAGCCUUAUUCUACUUACUAAAGAAAGGGAUGGCAGGGUCUUGUAUGGACUAUUGUGCUUUAAACCAAUCAUAUCACCUGAUAAAUUUCCAGUUCUGGUUAUGGAGGAGUGAUUGGAUAAGUUGUAUGGAGCAACUGUAUUCUUGAAGAUCACCAUCAACCAAAUUAAGAUACUAUUGGGUUGGCUUAAGGUAGGAGAUAUGCAUAAAAUGGUUUUCAAACACAUGAAGGUCAAGUAAUGCCCUUGCAACCACGCUUCGACAUUCCUGUUCAUUAUUAUGUUGUAGCCAUUUCUACAAAAAAAAUUCCUGGUUUACUUUGAUGAUUCCUUGUGUGCGUGUUCAAGUUGUUUUCAAAAUUGGAAAAAGAAAAUCAUUUAAUUCAAACAUCUUUUCUUGCGUGUCUAGACAAAUAUGUAUCUGACGUGUGUCUGUGCUUCUUAGCUUAUAACGGGACCAUUCUGGGCUUUUGUUUUUGAGCAGGGAUUAUUGCUAUUAUGACCAUAGCCUGUAUGUCAAGCAUGGAAUUUCAAUAUUAGAAGAUUUGCUGAUAACCUUCGCUGAUGGGAUUGCAAGUAUGUAUCUAGAAUUUAUUUCUGUUGACAGCAGUUUCUUUGAUGAAGUGGAUAAUAUUGGCUUGGCAUUGUGUACCCUAUCAACACGAGCACUCCAAAGACUGCGUAAUGAGGUACUAUUUUUCUUUCCCUUUUUGCCUGUGGUGGUUAAUGAGGUUGAUGAAUCCUGAAUAGCUUCUCUAAUUUAUUAUUUUAUGACAAAUUUGGGAACUCCAAGUUUUCUUUUCCUUACAUUUUACUAUUUUAGAGCCAAGUAGUGAAUUUCAUUUACCCGUAUAUUGUCAUAUGGGAAAAAGAAAACAGGAACAAUUCACUGUCUUGUGUGAUUAUUUCGUUCCUGUCCCUAGCUAUAUUCUUUUGUUUGCCAUUUCACUUUUCAAUGUUAUUCUGCUUUGAAGAUGUAUGAAGAAAAUUUAUUGAAACAACAUACUUCUCCCUUUUUAUGUUGGAGAAGACAAUUUCGGAGCACAGUCUUUUGCAAUGGGAACUGGUUGAAUUUUAAAAUUCCCUUGUGGAAAUCUCUAGGUCAUUUGGGGACUGAUUGAUUUUUUUGCAUAGAAGAGGGAGGACAUUUGUUACAGUAACAUGAGUGGUAUUGGUUAAAGUAUGAAGAAAAUACGUUUGUCAGAUUAAAACUGAUGGUAAAACAGAAAAGGAUGAUUUGAAUCAUUCAAAAUUGUGUCGUAUAGUUUGUAGGAGGAAUAGACUGCUGUAGUUUGAGAUUUUCUUUUGCAAAAUUAUUUCCGUACAUUGCAUAAAAUUUUAAGGGUGAGUUUUGUUAAUAGGUGGCUAUGAACCAAUGGUUGUAUCAAAACAUCGAGGCCAUUGUAUCGAUGUAUGAAGACCGGUUUGAUCUAUGUACACUUAGUAGUCAACCGAUUGACCUACCAGGCAGUGGACAGGUCAAUAUUGAUAAUUGGUGGAUGAAAUAUAUCCUCAGAAGAAAAGAAACUUUGUCUUCUCAGGUAUAUUAUGUUGUGAUACGCUCCUUUGCCAUGCCUGUAAAACGCACCAAGGAGUUGAGAGCUUUAAGGGGAUGGUAUGUUCCUUCAAUAUAAUUUAAUAUAAUUCUCAUUUUUAUGCAUACUUCUGAAAUCCAAUUUUGUGGUGGACAGUCAUUUUUCGGGUAACAGUUUCUGAAAUAGCUUUAGCAGGAGCAAUUUGAUUUGUUAAUAUAAUAGGGAUUAACUAUGAAUAUUGUUGUUUAAAUAUAAAUGUAACUUGUUAAUUGAACUAACAGCUAAUAAUUGAAGUUUGUUGGUUGGAACCAUUUGACCAGGAGUACAGGAGUUGUAUUGGGUUAAAAGGAAGUGAAUGAUAUGAUGUUGAGUAGUGUUAUGGGUGCAAGGUAAAGCAAAAAAAUUGAAAAGAUACAUUAAACUGACCAUAACUGUUAUCGGUUCAGGUUGAAAAUGAUCAGUUUGGUGGUUUUAGUUUGAAAAUGAAAAAAACCAAAAUUGUUCAGUCAGAUUUGAGUUUGGCAUAAGAAUAAAUCGAGCAAACCAAUUGAUCUAAAAAAUAAUGGAGUUUAGUUGGCAUGAAAUUAGAAUUAGUAUCCAGUAGGUCACGAGUCCCCAAUAUGCACAGGCCUGCUUAACCAAACCGUGUCUGAGAGUUAUGUCAAAUAACAUGGUUUAGUUGGCGUAAAAUUGGAACUAGUAUCCAGUAGGUCACGAGUUGCCGAUAUGUGUGUGCCUGCUUUGCCAAACAGUGGACGACCAGACCUUAGUCCGUUACAGAUAAUUCGGUUAUAUACCUUUAGUGGUUCAGUUAGGUUCCCUGAAUAUUGGCAUGCCUGCUUACCCAAAUAGUAAACCACCAGAUCUUAGUUAGCUGGUUUGAGAUGGUUUGGUUAUAACUUUAGUGGUUCAAUUAGGUUCCUUGUAUUUUCUAAUAAAUUUUGUGGUUCGAUUUCACGUGUCCAAAUUGAUUACACCCGGUUGGAAAUAUGUUGGAAACAAGGAGCUAGUUUGUUGUUUAUAGCCUCAAGGGUAUUUUUGUAAUUUACUGUACCCUAGUUUUAUUUCCUUAUCUGUUUGGAAGUAUUGUAGCGUAUAUAUAUUCUUCCCCCUUGUAUUAUUUGGAUUAUUAGAAAAUAAAAAGAGCUGCUUUUAUUGUGGUUUUUUGUUAUGGAAAUCCUAGGAUUUGGAAAUUAGGAACCCAAUUGAUGAGUCCCUAAUGUCAAAUUCUAAAACCCUCAAAUCAAUUCAGCAAUAGCCCAAGGAAUAGAUUAGAUUUGGAUUACCCUUUGAUCGAACCCAAUUGCCCCCCUAGCUCUGGUUCUAAACCAACACAAACUCAAAGUAUGACUGAACUUAAUAAUAACUUUUGUGCUGAGGAUGAUAUGGUUGAUGUGGUUGAGGAGGACAAGACUAAUAUGAUAACUCCAAGAGAGAACAACGUUGCCAUAAGUGAUGAAAUUCUAGCAGAAAAACAGAUUGGUGAGACCAGCCCAAGAUGACAGACAAACCAGGGAGUUAUGCCCUUUCUUGACACCCUUUCUUGACAUGCCCAUUGCCUUGAGAAUGGGUACUAUGUUUUGUGUGAAGCACUCAAUGCGUAAUUGUAUAUCUUACAGUAAUCUAUCGUCUAAGUUCAAGGCGUUCACUGCAAGUCUCAAUAUUGCAAGAGUACCAAAGAACAUACAUGAAGCUAUGGAGAGUCCUGAGUGGAAGAUUGCUGCACGGAAGAAAUGGGAGAGCGUGAGAAGAAUAAAACAUGGGAUCUCUGCACUAUUCCUAAGGGCACAUGACAAUGGGAUACAAAUGAGUGUUUACUGUGAAGUACAAAUUAGAUGGAACCUUAGACACCCAAGGCAAGGCUAGGCUUACUGUGAAGUACAAACUUUUCUCUUGUGGUAAAGUUAAACACAGUUGGUGCUUUUUUGUCUGUUGCAGUCAACAAAGAGUGGCCUCUAUCAAUUUGAUGUUUAGAAUGCUUUCCCAAAUGGUGAUUUGGAAGAAGUGUACAUGAGUCCUCCUCCAGGUUUUGAAGAUCAGUUUAAUCACCAAGUUUGUAAGCUUCAAAAAGUCUCUUUAUGAUCUGAAACAAUACCCCAGGGAAUGGUUCUAUAGAUUGACCACCUUUGUUAAAUCUAAAGGCUUCACCCUACAAAGAACACAUGGAAGCUCUAAAUCGUGUUCUGAUGCAUUUGACAACUACUCUAGGUAAAGGUUUGAUGUUCAGGUUACUGACAAAAAAUGUAUUGAGGCUUAUACCGACUCUGAUUGAGUAGGAUCAAUUACUGAUAGAAAGUCCACUGAGAUAUUGUACCUUUAUGUGGUGUAAUUUUGUUACUUGGAGGAGUAAGAGGUAGGGUGUUAUUGCUAGGAGUAGUGUUGAAGUUGAAUACAGAGUUAUGAGUUUGAGAAUGUGUGAAGAGAUCUAGUUGCAGAAAGUUUUGUCUGAUCUUCACUUGGACAGUGAGUUACAUAUGAAGCUCUUCUAUGAUAAUAAAACUGCUAUAAGUAUAGCUAAUGGUCCAGUUCAACAUGUCAGAACAAUACAUGUGGGGAUUGACAAACAUUUUAUAAAGGAGAAACUUGAUAGCGAGAGUAUCUUUAUUCCGUACAUUUUGUCCAGUGACCAGUCACAAAUUGUUGAAAUUUUCACCAAAGGAUUACUCAUACAAAACUUUCUCGUGUUAGCAAGUUGGGUCUAAUUAUCAUUUACACUCCAACUUGAGAAGGAGUGUUGGAAAUACGUUGGAAAUAAGGGGCUAGUUGAUUGUUUAUUAGCCUCAAGGGUAUUUUUGUGAUUUAUUAUACUAUUGUUUUAUUUCCUUAUUUGUUAUGGCUUGUUGUAGCCUAUAUAUAUUAUUCCCCCUUGUAUUCUUUGGAUUAUUAGAAAAUAACAAGAGUGGCUUCUAUUGUGUUUUUUUCUUCAUGUACUAGGGUUUUCCAUGUAUACCUUGUGUCUUCUUCUUCUUUUCAAUACACCCAAGUAGUGUUCUGGAGAGAGAUAGUUGGAGUUGAGAGGUACUUGACCUUCGUGGGCAUGUGGGAUCAAAAUAAUCUUAAUCUUAAGAGGGUUUCGAAAUUCAAAUGAUAUAAGUUUCUAUAAUGAAGCUUAUUUUCAUAGUCUGGGUCAUUUUCUUGUGGACAUUAUUUUUGUAUGCUCUUGGGUUAUUGAGAUGAGCGUUCUCCAUUAUUCAUUUUUUUUUAACAAAGAAUACAUUGGUUCAUAUGUAUGCUUUCGCGUAUGCAUAAUGAACUCCCAAAAUAUGACAGAGUCGUUUCAUAAUUAUUUGCAAAGGGUGUUUUCCAUAAGACACUUGUCUUUGGUGGUGGCUUAAAUGAACAGAAUUGUAAUCUUAUGAAUAUUGCAGGAGGUAUUACUUCAGCCUGUUGAUUGAAUUAUCCGACAUUACAAUGCCGUUGAUAAGAGUAGUAAUCGAUAAAAUCAGUAGCGGAAUAUCGUUCUUUCUAGUCUGUCUGAUUGGAAGAUCUUUAGGGCUCAUCUAUACAGGAAUCAGGCAGUCACUGCGGUGGAAAUGAAGGUUUGUUAGUUCUGAUUUCUAUUUCGUUGUUUUCCCAUUAUUUCAGUUCCCUGAUAUUUUUUUGUAGUUUGUAUCAACUUGAAAAUUUGGUUUAGUUUUUAUCAAUUGCAAUUUGAGAUAACAUAGAACGUAGUACAUUCUUUUUUUCUUUUUGCCUUUUUAUCACAUGAAUUUUGAUGAAAAUCCAUAUUGCAGAUUGAACACGUAGUGUUUUUUUCUUUUUCUUUUUUUUUUUUAAUCUCUGAAAGAUUGAAUUGCAUUCUUCUAUUCCCCUGGAAAAAAAAUUACAAAUACCCAUUAAAAAAUUUAUUUGAAUUGAUGAAAUUCCAAUAGUGUUACCAUGGGCCAAUUUUGAAACCAUUGAGUUCGACAGGAUUUGAGCAACAGCUCUUCUAUUUAAUCAAAUUUGGUUCUUCUAAUUCGUGAAUUUGAGCUAUACUAAUGAGAACAAGUGUUGUUUUUUUAAUAUUAAAAUAUCAUUUUAAUUCCCAAAUCUAAAUAAAAUAAAAUCUGGAGCAUAUAAAUAAAUAUAACACUUAGAUCUAAAUAAAAAUGCAUGAUAUGCUUCACCUGUUGAAAUCUUACUCCAAGUGACAUCAUAUUCAACAUUCAUUAACUAAAUUUAAAUCGUAUAUCUCAUAACUAAUUAAAUCAAAUAAGAUAAGAACUAGGUUAACAUCAUCUAGACAAGAUAAACUGAAAAUAAUAAAAACUAAUAAAAUAAAAUAAAAUAAAUUGCUUCAUUUUGACAUUGAAUUUUCACUCAUGUUUUUCUUUUUUAUUUAAACUCAUUAUCUAAUGAUUAUUUUCUUUAAAUUUAAAUUUAAAUUUCUAACAAAAUAUUGGUCAUUAAAUUAAAUUAAAUUAAAUUUAAAAAUAAGUUAAAAGUAAAAAAUAAUAACAAACAAACUUAAGAAAACAAACAAAAUGAAAUAAAUUUUUUUAAAAAAUCUCAUAGGACGACUCUCCCUUUUUCUCCUUCAUGAACGAGUGUUGAACACUAUUUAUCUAACCUUCAUUAAUUCAAUUUAAAUCAUACAUUUCAUGCCAAAUAAAGUGAAAUAAAAUAGUUAGGUUAACCGACUUUUGACAUUCAUAAAAUAUAAAAUCUAAAACCCUAAAUAUAUAUUUUUUUUAAAAAAAUAAAUAGAACGAAAAUAAUGAAAACUAAAUGAAAAAGAAAACACAAAAAUUGGUUAAGUUUGGCAGAGAUUAGAGACAAACAUUAGUUAAAUGAAAUUCCUCAUAUAAAUAAAUAUAGCACUUAGACUUACGUAAAAUGAUAUGCUCAACCUAUUUUGGAAUUUUAGUAUUGAGUGAAAUAAUUUAUCCAACAUUCAUUAAUUCAAUUUAAUCACACUUCUCAUUCUUAAUUAAAUAAAAUAAAAUAGAAUGUGUUCCUAGUAAAUAAAAUCUGAAACCCUAGAGUUUAUAAAAAUUUAAGGAAAAAAAAUUAGAUGAUGAAAACUAAAAGGAAAACAAAACAAAAAAAAUUGCUUCUGUUAAUUAGCAGUGGUUAGAGACAAACCAAAGCUCAAAACAACUAUUAAACACUAACAUUCAAAAUUAAAAGAAAUCUCCUCAAGCAUAUAAUUGAGAAUUAUUCUAACAAUUUAUAUAUAACAACUAUUUAAGUAAACAAGAAUCUAGACAUGAAUAAAAAUAAAUAUCAUACUUGGAUCUAUAUUAUAUAUAAAAUGAUGGGAGUGGAAAAACUUAAAUUUUGUCAUUUCUUUUUAUUCAUUUACUUGUUUUUUGGUUUUAUUGUAAUUUUUUUAAUUUGGAAUUAAUUAUUAUUGUAAUUAUUGUAUCAUUUCUCCCAAGGAUGCUUAUUCACUUCUCAUAUCUCAUUCAACCUUUCAAAAAAAAUUUAAAAAAUUAUUUGUGCAUAAGUACCUUUUUUUUAUCACAAGUUACAACAAGAGCCUAACCACGAACAAGAAAUCAAAUCAUGUUUUUCAUUAUUAUUUUGUUGUCUAUUUUUUAUAUAGGGUUUAGGAUUUACAAUAAUUUGAAAUUAAUUAAUGUAAUUAUUUUUUUUAUUUGUAAUCAUCUACAAUUUUUAAUAAAUGUUUGGAUAUUAAACAUACAUUAGGAUGUGAAUGUCAAAAUAAUAUAUAUAUGAAAAUGUUGAAUUGACUAUGUUCAAAUUUUAUAUAAGUUAAGUUAAAAAUAUAACUUUUUCGAGAUUUUCACCGGCAUCGUACAUGUUGUUUACUAGUUUAAAUAAAUGGCAUUUAACUAGUAUAUGGUAAAUAGAGGGGUGUUUUAUUUCAAGCUAAACCUAACAUUGCUAUAUUUUUCACAAAAGUAGUAAUGGGCUAGAAACUUUCGAAAACUAAACAUCCCUUCCCAUUUCGACUGGCAAUCGUGUUUCUAUUCUAUUCUCUUUGUAAGAAAUUUAGGGUUUUGACGAAAGAAAACGCUUAGAAAGGACAAGUUUUAGCUGUUGAAUAACGUAUUGGUAAGUCAUGUUUGAUCGUUACGCAAAAUACUUGUAUUCUGAAACUGAUUUUCAAAAUUUCCUCUAAUUCAGUUAGUGUGUGUAGCAAAUAGGGUUUCGAUGCAAGAGGAUGAGUUGAAAGUUCAUAUAUUGGUGGUGGAAUACCAUUUUAGUAAGAAAUGUCUUGAUUGUUGUUCACUAAACUUGUUUAAGUAUAUUAUGUAUAUUAGAGAAUAUUUGUAAUGAAGCUGUAAUUGAGCUUUAUUCCAAGCACUUUUAAAUUUCCGAAGGAAAAAAAAAGUGCGAAAUCAAAGUAGGGAACUAACUUCUGCAUUCGAUUUCCUUCAAAAAGUUCAUGUUUUCGUGUGGAAUGCACAUGUGGUUUCUUCUGUAUUUCACAAAUGUGUUGUGGUAUAUUAUUGAUUUAAUUAAUGCCAUGUUAGUGUUAUAUGUGGUUGGAACAUUCAUGUGAUUAUAUGCAAUAUUAAUAUUAGUUUUGGUAAGAAAAUGUGUCACUACAAGAAGUAGGGGUUCUCCUGACGCAUAUAUGCAUCGACAAAAAUCAUAAAACGCGUCGAGAAUGUCUAUCUCGAUACAUAAAGCCACAUCAGAGAGAGCAUCAGUAGUACUACGUCGGGAUAGUCAAAACCGACGCGCAAAUUAAACUCAACGAUGUCGGCAAAAGAUUUUGCUCGACGCAUGCUUUGCCGACAGGAAAAAGAUGUCGGAGAAAAGCUUUGUCCGACGUCUGGUCAAAGCAUCAACAAUAGGGUAUUGCUGAUGUUGUCUUCUACACCCGACAUAAAGUAAAUACCGACGCAGCGUCGAUGGACCUUGGCUUGACGUUGCGGCGGCAAAUGCAUCCAUGUCCGAUGCGUUUUGUGCGUCGGAAAAACUUUUCUAUAUUAUUUCUAUAUUUAUUACUAUUAAACUUUUUUUUGCUAUUGGGAUCACAUUCGAUUUAAAUUCAAUCAAUUUUUAAAAAUAAUUGACGUAAAACUAAUAAAAACUUAUGAAAAUACCAAAUCAAAUUUAUAUUAAAAUUAAUUCAAAUAUUAAAAAAGUACACGUUUAUAGGUUCAAAAUUACAUUAAUAAUGAAAACUAAAAUCUAAAAACAUAAUUCUAAGCGCGGUAGAAGCUAGUUCCCCCAUGCCUCCCAAUCUACAAUAACACAAAAUUAAAUUUAGAUAUAUAUCACCAAUAAGAAAUUAAAAAACUUAAAAGUUGAAAAAUACACACCGCAAUGAAAUCAAAGUCUUCCUGUGCUUGAGUGAGUUCUUCAAUCAUCUUCCUCAUUUCUUCCAUCUGUUAGACAUUUUCUUCGUGUUUUCGGUUACUUUCUUGUAUUGCUCGGUCAUUCAAGUCUGUCACUUCCUCAAGACGAGCUUUUAGCUCGAUAACCUCUCUGGCAUGCAUCUCUCGCUCAUAUGACGUAGACAAAGAACUACCAGCAGUGUUUCGAAACUUUGGCUGGAGGCCCCAACCAAGACCUUUUGAGUAACCCGAUCAUCUAUCCAAAACGGUCUCACAUAUCUCAUUUUUAGAGAGUGGUUGAGAACCCUUUGCGAGGGCUAUGACUAAAGUUCCAACAUUUGAUUCUACAAGAAAAUUUUUAUUAAUUAAGUCAAACUUGUAAAUUAAAUGCCUCUUUUUCUUCUUUUUAAGUCUAUAACACUUGUUUUAUUCUUUUAUUCAUACCCUACUUUGUAAAAGGCUAUAGUAAAAAAUGCUAUAAAAAGAGAUCAGUUUGAAACCUGAGUGAAAAUUAGGGAAAGUGAAAUGUAUGGGAUGCAUUAAAUGAGAUUUAAAAAACAUGGGAGAGUGAACCGUAGAUAGUGAGAUUCGUGAUAUUUGCCCCAGAUACUUACAUAUAUCGAAAGAAAAAAAAUGUAAGUAUUUGCUAGCUGACCUCCAGUGACUCGAUUAAUCUUAAAUUCUAGCUAAAAUUGUCUUUGAACCAAUUAAAUUAUAAAAACAAAUUAGAUAGUAACUACUAAGCUGACUGAUUAAGGUUAUAUCAACACCUUAACCUAGCAGAUUAAGUAUAAGGUGGUCAGGAUGUAGGUUGCGAAGUGGUUCGACAUAAACUAGUUUGAGCUCUACGUAUUUGGUUCUGCGCAAUAAUUUUUCACUCAAAGAUAGGAAACAACUAGAAAAUAUGUUAAUGUUAUGAUACAAUUCAUGAAUGGAAUGAAUGAUUAUGAUAUUUACCCAAAUCAUUGAAACUAUAUUAGAACUCUCUUAAAACCAAAUUAAAGUUAUACUCAAGUCAUAACUAAAUUUGUAAUUUAUCCUUAAAUAUCUAUUUCAACAAUGUUGACAAAAAUGUGUAUGCUGCAGUCUGUUUUUAUCCAUUCUGACCAAGCAUUUAUAUAACUAAAAACCACCAAGCAAAUUUCAAGUACAAAGAACUUCAACCCUUAUUAUUUAUUGCAAGCAAAAAAUACAACCUAAGUUUAAUAUCCCUUUUUGCUUGCUUAUUCCACAACUAAACACUAAAAUAUUUGGUUAGAAAAAGAGUCACCAUGCGGCUGUGGCUUUGAUUCCUUUUCCGUUUUCUUUGGAUACUUUCAUUUUGUUCAGAAUCCAAACACAUCUUCAUAUCAGCUAACUAACAGAAAGGGAUCAUCAUGGAGGAAAUCUAAGAAGGAACUGGUUGCCUAAAGAAAACGUUGAUUGCGAUCCUUAUAUAUAAGAGUUUGAAGCAUUUUUCAACUACUGAUUCUUUGAACAAAUUGUCCCACCUUAUAAAUUCCCUGAAUUAUUUAAAACUUGGAAAAAGCAAGACCAAGGAAGGCGGGCCAAUUUAAUGUGGCCGGAGUUUAAUCAUCGGUUGGCUUUAGCAGCAGCUGCUGAUGCUGCCUCAUCCAAUCCCAUAUUUUGUAACUCUUUCAAGAAACCAUUAAAAUCAGCGUCGCUGAUCUUAUAUGGGCUAUGAAGAGGUCCAGGAAACGAACCAUUAGAUACUUCUUCCCUAUAUUCUAAUAAAGCUUUGUUGAUGACAUCUCCAAUUUGAGCAAAUUGCUUACAAAAUUUCGGGGUCACCUGCAAAGGGCAUAAACAAAAGAAGUCAUAACAUCAUAAAAAAAACAUGGAGAAACCUAUACAAAACAAAGGUGGAGUCUGAUAACCUUAGCAUGAUGUGGGUGUUGAAGCAUGCCGAGCAGAUCAUGGUAAACUAGGACCUGAGUUUAAGAAAAUUAAUUAGUCCAACUGCAAAGGACAUUUGACUCGACACUAUGACUGUUGUCAAGUAAUCAAGUACAACAUGAGCAACACACCAAUCAACCUUAUCAAACAAGUAUGAAAGAUGAAACCGACAUUUCUAUUUAAAAGAAAAAAAAAUAAAAAACCAACAAGUAGUCUGAAAUAUUUAAAUAGAUCAUAAACCCUGUCUCUUGACUGAAAUGCAAUGUCCAUUUUCUUCUUCACAUUCUCAUUUCAAUACGAGAGUGGCAUUCAAACCCAAAUAUUAACAAAUUGUUAUUUCAUUUCCACUUGUUAGUGAGUAUACUGUUGACCGGAAAAAAAAAUUUGACUACUCGUGAAUGUCUUCUAUAUUCUGAUGCAUCCACUCCCUUUAGGGGAUCUUGAAACACUUAAAAUAGUUAUACCAUUCACUUCCAAUUACAUUGUACCAAAACUGAAAAACCAUAAAAGAGGACCACUUUGGAGUACUAAACAUGGCAACCUUUCGAUGCUUCUCUUAUUCAGGAGAGAACCUCCAAAUCCUGAACUAGGUAAAGAAAUAAUUUGAAGUUAUUAAUUAUAUGCCAGACCAAACGAGAGACAAACAAACAGCUCAAGGAAAGGAAAUACGUUAAGGAAAGGAAAUAUUAACAAACAAUCAACUAACUUGUCCACUACAGAAAGGCCCUGCUCCAAUGCCCAUGGUGGGAAUACGGAGAGCUGCUGUAGCCGCAGCAGCAACUUCUGGAGGAACACAUUCUAGGACGACAGCAAAACACCCAGCUUCUUGUAGAGAGAUUGCAGUUUCUACCACCUGCAAAGAUGCAUAUUCAGCAUAAAGGCUGAAAUAAACACAAAAAACUAUGCAACAUGACCACAGAAUGGUGUCCAAGAAAUAGCUGCAAACAGUACAAUAAGAGGAAGAGAUAAGUAGAGAAGUGGAGGAACCUUAACAGCACUGGUGAUAUUCUUCCCUUGAGGUCUAAAUCCUCCAAGAACACUAAUGGCUUGUGGAGUAAGUCCAACAUGCCCCAUUACCGCAAUCCCUGCUUCAACUAUAGCUCUUGCUGCUGUUAUUCUAGAAUGGGAACCCCCUUCCAAUUUUAUCGCAUCCAUUCCCCCUUCCUUUAGAAUUCUCACUGCCGUAUCAAUAGCCUGUCAAUAAUACAACACAGUGCUGGAUCAUUUUAAGAAUUGGAGAUGUUCAUCAAGUGAAAAGUUAUUAAACAAUUAGUUAAGAGGUCUAGAAUUCGUUAGUUAGUUAAACAUCUCUUAUCGUGGUAACUACUUAUUUACCCUUCUCACAUGUGUAUAUCAUUGGACAGCCAUUCAAUAAAGCGAGAAAGUCAUUUAGAAUUCUUUUUAGCUUCCAAUACGUUACCAAAGCAUACUUUCCCUCCUGAGUGACUUCUCCUUACUUUGAUCCCUCUCAACCACCUUUCCCUACCAAAACCACUAUGCGUACCGAGAACUCCCAAACUGCAAACCCGAUUCUGUCCACCUCCUCUAAAACUCAAGAAAACGUUCCUCCUACAUCUUAUGGCACUCAACAUUCAAUUGAUCAGAAUCAAGGAAAUCUCAAUCCAUAUUAUCUGCCCCAUAACGACAACACAAGUUUAGUGUUAGUCACUGAGCUGUUAACAGAAGAAAACUACGUUUCCUGGAGUCGUGUGAUGAUCAUCAGACUAUUAGUCAAAACAAAUUCGGAUUUGUCGAUGGAACUCUUCCUCGUCCAAAUGAGAAUCUCCUUCCCUCAUGGAUCAGAAACAAAAACAUUGUCAUAUCCUGGAUCUUGAACUAAGUAUCCUAGCUGAUUUCAUCCAGCAUCUUCUUCGCAGAUUCGGUAAGAAGUAUAUGGCUUGAUUUCAAAGAGUGUUUUCAACGAAAGAAUGCUCCUUGCAUUUUCCAGUUGAAGAGAUCUCUCGCAACCCUCGUUCAAAAUCAAGACUCUGUGAGUAUGUAUUUCCCAAAGUUUAAACUCUCGUUGUGAAUUAAACUCCUAUAGGCCAACUUGUACUCGUGGAAACUGCCGAUGUGGAGGAAAUCAAGAGAUCACUAAUUUUCUUCAAAUUGGAUAACUUACGGACUUCUUCACGGGAUGUAAUGAGUCUUUGGCUUAAGCCUGUGCUCAACUCCUCCUCAUGGAACCUAUUCCUUCUGUUUCUCAAGCAUUCUCCCUUUUUCUUCAAGAAGAAGAACAACAAGCAAUAAGUUCUUUUUCUUCUGUUGCUCCAGCCGUCGCACUUGUUGUCUCUUCAAACGUGAAAAACAACUCUACACAUAAACAAUGCAAAGAUCGGCCUAUUUGCACUCAUUGUAACAUCUCAAUACAUACCAAUUACAAGUGUUACAAAGUCACUAUGGCUAUCCUCCUGGAUAUAAGCCCAAACAGCAGCGACUCAACAACAGUAACUCGAGCACUUCCUCCACCAACAGUACAAAUUCGGGAAUAACACAGACCAGUGAGCUCUCUCCCAAUCUGAACAACACCACAAUCCAACAGAGGCCCUAUUACAGUGCCAAAACCUCCUUAACCAGCUUCAAUCUCAAUUCACUGCCUCUUCAAGUAGUUCUACCACUCACAUAGCAGGUACUCUCUUUGCCCCAUAUUGUAUAAUUGACUCAGGAGCAUCCAUACACAUAUGUUGUUCUGAAGAAUUCUUUACUGACAAAGAACCAUGUUCUGCAUUCAUUAGUUUGCCAAAUAAAAACACCUAUGAGGUCAAAAAGCACUAGCAGUACUGUGAAAUUAUCUAACACACUUCUUUUGAGAAAUGUUCUAUAUAUGCUUGAUUUUUCCGUCAAUCUGCUCUCAGUGAGUGCCAUUACAAAGGAUUCAUCAGUUUUUGUUCAAUUUUCUACUAACACUUGCAUCAUUCCGGACAAGUACUCUUUGAAGAGGAUUGGCAGUGCUAAACUUUUCCAGGACUAUACAUUCUUGACCCUCCCACAGAUUUUCCUGCAAAUACAUCCGUUUGUGCUAUUGUUGGUAAUAAAGCAUCCUUAUGGCAUCAACGACUGGACCAUUCCUCUGCUGAUUGAUUAAACUCAUUACGAAACCUUUUACAUUUGAAAUCCACUACAGUAAACAAAGUAUCAAAUUGUACAGUGUGUCCUUUGGAAAAACAAAGGAAAUUAUCUUUUACUUCCAAUAAUCACUUGUCUUAAAUGCAUUUGAUUUAAUUCGUGUAGACAUUUGGGGACCAUUUUCAAUACAAACUCAUGCUGGCUAUUGGCUAUCUCCAAGGCAUGAAGGCUUUACAAGUUGUAUGACAUUGAGCACAAAAAGAUCUUCAUCUCAAGAGACGUGGUGUUCCAUGAAACUGUGUAUUCGUUCCAUAAUAUGCCUAAAACUCAAAUAUCAGUUGAUCCUCUACCGGGAUUUUCUCUACCCAAGCCCUUCCAUGAAUGCAAUUUACACCCACACGCCACAUUGCCUUUAGCCUCAGGCUCUACCUCCUCCACUAGAAGUUGCUGAUUUGUUUAAGGUUUUGACAUCCUAAAAAAAGUUGCUUGUACGAUUCAAUUACAGCUACCAAUCCCACCUAGUUUCCCAUCAAAUAUGUACAUUUCUAAACUAGCGAGUUAUCAAAAUAAAUUACUCCACAAGAUAUGUUCGUUUAAAGUUUAUGUUCUUUUUUUUUUUUCUUUAUUAAUUAGUAUGAGAAUCAGUUUUAUUGGUGAUAUGAAAUUACAUAACAAAGAAAAGGGUAGAAACCCCACUUGAAAGGAGUCACAAAAGAACAGGAAGUAUAAAAGUGGAAAAGUGAAACAUUUACUUUACAUCAAGUGAUGGUCGUAAAAACAAAAAGCAACAAAAUACCAACAAAUAGUAAGUUGGGUCUGUUUAUGCAUUUUGAGACAUUAUGAUGGCGUAAUCUAACCAGAAACUAAAUGAAAACAUAUUUUCAUAUGAAUUUAAGACUUACCAUUUUCAAUCCUUUAUAUUCACAAAUCCCUUAAAUUCCGCGUACAGCCCAUUCAAGCGACAACAGACAAACAAACAUUCUCUAACUUUGUCAUUUCUUCAAACACCUAAAAGGUAAAAGAGAAAGAAAAACCUGUGCAGAGCUGGAUUCAUAAGUACCAAAGGGCAGAUCACCAAUCAAAAGAGGCCGCCGAGCCCCACGAGCCACAGCCCUACAAUGAACAAGGAUUUCAUCCAAAGUAAUCGGCAACGUAGUGUCGUGGCCGUGCACAACCAUGGCAGCCGAAUCGCCUACCAAAGCAAUAUCAAUCCCAGCCAUGUCCAAAUGGACACCGGAAGGGUAAUCAUAAGCAGUGACCAUGGUGAUGGGUUCACCUUUCUUGUACUUUUGUCUAAGAUUGGUGAGAGUGACUCUUUGAUUUGGAGUUUGGGAGGUGGGGCCGCCGUAGACCGUAUUUUCAGGGACAUUGCUCAUGUAACGAAGGGUUUUGAGGAGGGAUUGUGUUCUUGUUCGAGAUACGGCCAUAGUUAAAAGCUUGAAGAGCGCCAUUGAAAGACCAACGUUACUCAAACUAAAUCACGAACAAACGGUUGAAACUUGAGAAAGAUACCCUCGUAUACUUCGUAGAGCAUCAAGCAUUGAGCGGCCGAGAAUGGAAUAUCAAGUAUUUAAAGCAUAGCAUGAAUAUUAUGCAUGGUUUUUAGAGAUGGAUUAGUAAAGAGGACUCAAAUUUUCAUUCCCUCUCGAAAACAAAACUAGGUCAUUCUUUUUUAUGGAAUAGUUGAAAAUUUAGCAAUUAUAUUCAAAAUAAUUAAGUAUAUAGUAACAUAUUUGUCAAAUUCUAUCAAUAAUACAUAUUUAUCACCGAUAUACUAUGUUGUAAAUAUUGAUCUAUCAGUGAUAGAUUAUUCGAGUUUAUCAACGAUACAAUAGUUUUGCUAUAUUUACAAUUUUUUUAAAAUAUUAUUAUAUCCUUAAUUAUUAUUUCUCACAUGUCCAUCAAUUACAAUUACUUUUUUUUUUAGACCUUCGAAUAGAAGUACAUUUUAGUCCCCCAAUUUGUAUAAUAAUUCAAAAUAGUCACUAACUCAACUUUGACGUAAUAGAAUAUUGAUUGAACCAUUACAACUUAUGUGCAUGGAUGAUGAUAUGUCCUUCUUUUAUUAUUCUAUAAAACAAAUUGAAAAUUCAAUCUAGAUUGCUAAUUAACUAUAUACUAUUGGAUUGAAUUUUUCAGUUUACUUUAUCAAAUAAUAAAACAAAAUCAACAAAUCUUCCAUCUACAUGGACCCGUUAAGGAUCCAAUUAUUGGUCUAAAAUUAACACAUGGAUAAUUUAGAAUCAUUCUACGAAAUUAAAGGACAAAAACGUUUCUUUUAAAACUUUAUAUACCAAAUAAACAUCAAUUCCACUACACUAAUAUUUUUAUACCAGAAAAUUUGGGGUAAAGUUUAAAUUGCACAUAUCUUUUUUAUUUGAUGUGUUUUGUUUUAUAAUUAAAAAAAAUCUUAAACUUAAUUUGUUAAAAAAAUUACAAAUAAUCCAAUAAAACUAUAUUAUUUUGGUAUAAAAUUCAAAUUAACAAAAAUAAUUCUAUAAUAUAAAUGUAGAUUAUAUAAAAGGAAUAUAUUAUUGAAAGGGUGUUCCUAAUAGAUUUAUAUAGAUGUAGGGUAUUCCUUAACAAUCCAAAUAUUCUUAGAUACCUCCAAAGGAAAAACAAUUCUAAAAUACCAACAUAAUGUGGAACAUCUAUAAUUUGAGAGAUUUCAAGAUUUUAGUUAUUUGCAUUCAUUAAAAAUAUAAUAAAUAACAAGUCGUUAUAGGAAUAUUUAAAACUAAAAUUUAACUUUUCUUUAAAAACUAUUUUUUUCAUAAAAACAAUUUAAUGGAUUUACAUCUUAGUGAAUGUUGAAUCACAAAUUGUCACUUCACAAAGUUCUCUUUUAAAAAAUAUUCUAAGGAACAAACAAGGUCAGCUAGGCAUAACUAAUCUACUUAAUUUCAUACAUCUAUAAGGAUUUGAAAUGAACGAUUGUGUUUAUCUGAUGUGUAUGUUUCUAAUGAUCUCCUUUUAAGGGAAUAUCCAUGAAAAAGUUAUAGAUAGGGAGAUGAUGUGAACAAACAUAAAUGAAAAGAUAAAUAAUAAAUAAAUCAAUUGAAAGAGGAUGGAGAAAGUAAAAUGAAAGUCAAGUGUAUCUAAAAGGAAAACCCAAUCCCAAACCCUACUGGUUACUACCGAGAAGCCUUGAUAGCAAAUUGUCAAUACCCAACUAUUACUUGUUAUACAUAUUAUCAAAUUGCUAUGUAUAUUAUUAUCACAGUGAACAGAAAAAUCAUACACAAAUACAGAUCUGAGCUCAACAAAUUCACGUUGUCUUCUUAAGACAAAUUUACUCACCCUAGUGCUUGAGAAUUUAGAGUAAUUGUCUCACAUGAUAGAACAGAACAACUUUCUUCUAAGUGUAGCACCCCGUAUAAAAGAUUUAAGAACAAAACUUUGUGAAUCUACCGAACGUUAAGAUUGUGGAUAUGGAGAUAAAUUUGUUUAUAGAAGACAAAUUAUUUUUUUGUGUUCUUUUCUCUCAACCAAAAUGACUUAUUUAUAGAUUUUUCGUGGUUAUUCGAAAAGUCAUGUGCUUUAGUUAAUAAUAUUUUUCACGAAAUGAUGCAUCCACUCAUGAUGCAUCAAUUCAUGAAGAAUCAUAACCAUUUAUUCCAACAUUUACUAAUAGUAUUUGUUGAUGUUGAAUUUGUCUUAGAUUGGGAUUGGUGUUGUUCAACCUUUGAUUUUUGAGCAUAAACAGUCCAAACCAUUUUAUGGAUGAUCCUCUUAGGGUGAAUACUAGUCAAAUGUAGGAUCGUUCUAACAUAGUCAUGAGUUGAUCUAUACCAGAAACACCACAUGUCUAAUCACUAGGGCUCCUCUUGUUGAUUAGAUGCUCAUCGAUCAUUACUAAAACUCACACUUCAAAAUGCCGAGUCAAGGAGUAAUGCAUUAUAUUAUGAAUUGAUGUUUGGUUUGGUCUCCAAUUGGCCAAGCUUCGUGGAGAUUAAGUGGUUUGAGUUUGGGUUUGACAUAGAAAGAGCAAAAGAGAAACAUGUACAAUGGUGAAUUUGAGGUUCUUCAAUUUUAGUAUGUCAAUGGAGAUAAUAAAUUGCACUAUAUUUUAAUGUGGUGUUAACAGAUUUAGAUAGUGACACUAUUAAUGUUUUCACUUUGGUUUCGAUAGUGAGUGUGAGACUCUCUUUCACCAUAAUAUAUUUUCUACGAAUAAAAAAAAUCACCUUACUGAUGGAUCUUAGGCUCUCCUAAGAUAGAGAAUCCAUUCUCGUGGUUGUGUCUUAGGCUACCUUAAAACCGAGAAUCUCUUCUCAACAGCACUUGUAUUGGCUCCCUCUAAAUCGUAUAUAUUUUUAGUAUGCUGCAAUCAACAUGUGAAUAAACUUGCACAAAACAAUGAAGAACAAGCAAGAAUAUAGUGAAAAACACAAUGGUCGUAAACAAAACAACUCUUAUUCAAAGAACAAAUGCGGCUUGCAUCAAGAACUUAAUUUGCUUGCACAAUCAUCACACUCGAAAACCCUAAAUUGAUAUUAUAAUUUGCUUUAAAUAAUCUAAUCUAUAAAGGGAAAUAACACACUAUAGGAAAAGAUAGAUGAUAUAACACACUAUAAGUUGUUUGUCUGCAAAGAAGUCUAAACAUAGAUGAUAUAAACAUCAUUAAUGGUAGGAAUAAUACAAAGUCUCAAACAAAAACAUCGUCAAACAAUUACAACCAAACCAUUAGAGAAACAACAACCAGGCUUCAAACAACAAAAGUAAUAACCCAACAUCAAACAACAUAGCACAAAAGUCAGGCUCGAAAUCCUCUAAACUACCACAAAUCUCUCCCUUUUCUGGUUAAAAGAAAAAAAAAAUUCAAGUUUCGUGCUAAGAGGUGGAUGUUCCACCCUCAUUAGACAAAUAGAAAACACAUGAUCCAGAAUAGAUCAACCACUUCAGUUCUUUUUCUCUAAAGCUUAUGAAGUAAUGAUAACUAGUAAAAAUACAAGUUAUUAUGGCAUUUUAUUUAAAUAAUGAAGCCUCAUCGCAUAAGAAUAGAAGAAAGCAUAGUGAAAAGUAGAGGAUUUGAUUAACUUGUUAAUAAUGUUGUGCAAAAGAACCUCAUCUCCAUUUUAUUGCGUUUUUAGUGUUUUUAUCAUAGGAUUAUAGGCAAAAGUAAGCUCGAUGAUAGAAUGACUACAUGAGGAGACGCGUCCAACCAACAAGGCGACAAACAAUCAAGGCAAUAUAAAGCACUAGCAAACAAAUUUAGUUGGAGCGAAUGUCAGACAAAGGACAGAAGAACAUCUGCACGACGUUGUGCAGCUUUUAAGAGACAUUAAUGACGCAUGGGAUGUCCUAUUAACAUCACUCCUUAACUAUAAAUAGAGCUCUUCACUUUAGAAUUUGGUAUGCAUAUUUGGUCGGAGAGAAAUCUCCUAUAUCGUCCAUUUCUCUUCUUCCCUUGAGUUUUAGGUGAGAGCUUAGAACAAAUGAGAUGGAGAGAGUUAAUUCCUAGUUGUGGGGACUUUAUUGUAUUGGAUGAGUGGUUUGUUAUUGUAAACUAUGCUAUAAGUUAUUGGUCAUGAUCAUUGUAAGCGAAUUACUCAUUAUGUACCUCUUCAUCACAUAAUCACUGAGUCCUUGUUGAUUAUAAGUUUUUCUACUGCUUGUUCAACUGCAAGCGAAACAAUAGGUUUACUUGGAUGAUUCAAGAUCGAACACAGUAAAUUGCUUCAAGACAUUAGUUCUAGGCAUUACUUAGCAUCUGGACGAAAUAAAAUAAUUAAAUAAAUAAAGUAUAAAAGAAUUAAAAUUAGAAAUAGAAACUACUUAUGCAGGUCGAUAGAGUGUGGGAGCUUUUACAUCUACGUGAAGGGUGAAAUCUAUAGGGUGCAAAUGGAUCUAUAAGAGAAAGAGAGAUUUUGUCACACCCUAAACCGUACAAUCAACGAAAAUGUCGAAGUAGUAGGAAUAUGAUGUGAGUUUGUUACAACUUUGAAAUUUUCUUAUCGCAAAAUAUUAUUCUCAACUCCUUUUAUACUAUCAACAAAACUUAAAACGCAACGGUGGUCAACCUAAACGACAAGUAUAAUAAAUACCUACCAAAACAUUUAUUAAUAACAUGGGUUGAUACAUAAUUACAACACUUUGACCAAACAACCGAUGCUCUAUUUUCAAAACGUCUGGAGUCAUCUUGUCACAAAUAUCAAUCAAUCUUCUUCUCUACUUGGCCUAAACGCCUGAUCCUAGAAGAUGAAUUUUUUAAAGAAUGUCUAAAAGAUCGAGGUUUUAUGAAAUCCUUUUCACUAUACAUUUUCAUAAAUAUCAUUUUGUAUAUAACAUCAAAUAAUUUCAUCUCGCAUAAACCUUUCUUUAUGCUUAACAUAUUCAUAACAUAACAAUUUCUCAUAUACACACAUUAGUUAACAUUCAUUCCUUUCACCAAGGAUCCCAAAUAGUUCUUUACGCUUGGUCUCAUUAUCUCGCGUUUGACUACUGUAUCAACAACAUUCGAGAAUAUACAUAUUUGUCCUUGUUGCUCAGGUCUGUACACCCAUGACGACUGUGACUCUUUAUGUGCACAUAAUAGAAUCCGAUGAUUCUCUCAUACUCCCUUAAGGAAAGGGAGUUAUAAAACUGCAAAAGAAAAAUAGUUUUUCUUAAUUAAGAAAAGGUCAAUGUUUUUGCUCAAUGCAAAAAUAUUUCUCUCUAAAAUUUUUCCCAUCCUAAAUGGCUCUCACAAACCAAUCCCAUCCCAGAUGAUAAGUGAAGGGAUAAAAGCUCUAUGACACCAAAAAAUUUUACAGCCUUACAUUAAUUUGGAAAUCCCAAAAUACCAGUACAUUGACAAAAAUUUAGAAUAAAAUUUCUAAAUAAAAACUAAGCAUUCUUUUAAUUUAAAAAUUACAGAGAACUUAUUUUUGAUGACGUUUCUGAAUCUACAAACCACUGAAUUGAGGACACACCUAUGAGAGACCUUUCUAUCCUCUAGAACGAUAUUGGUUUGUGGGAACCAAUUGUGAUGUCAAAAGUCUUGGUUUUUUUUCUUGAAUAAUUCGUUAAAAAAAAAUUGUUUUCUUCUAGAUAUUUAUAACUCACUUUUCUUCUUGAUAUAAGAAAGAGAGUUGUAGAAAAUCGUGGGAUUUUACUAAUUUAAAAAAUACUAAAUUAAUAGAUAUUUCAAAUCUAAUAAUUAAUUAACCAUUAAUAAAUUAAAUCAUAUUUAACUAAUAUUUCAUUUAAAUCUUCUUUAAAUGAAUAUCUCUCCAACAUCUUAUACAUUUUUAUUAAUAUAGUUAAUUAAAUUAUAUUUAAUUAAUAUUUCAUUUAAAUCUGAUUUGAAUGAAUAUCUCUCCAAUAUAUUAUAGAUUUAUAUUAAUUUAAUUUAAUUUAAUUUACUUAAAUAAAAUAAACUAUUAAUUAAUUGGAGAAUUAAUUAAUAGCUAAAUUAAAUAUCUUAUAUUUAACUUAAAUUAAAUUUGAAUCAUAUUCAAAUAUAAGUUGCUUUUUCAUAACUAAUAAUUUUAAUAUGAAUCCAAUUUACAUUAAAUUAAUAUUUAAAUUUUAAUAUGACUCCAAUUCACAUUAAAUUAAUAUUUGAAUUCUUUCAAAUAUUUUAUCUCUCAUAAAUUAAUUUUGAAUCAUAUUCAAAAUUAAAUUUAUAUUAUAAAGUUUGAUAAACUUUAUAUUAUAAUGUACCACUAUACAUUAAGCUAAUUCCCAAAGUAAAUUUAAAUAUUUAAAAUUACAAUCAAUAUAAAUAAAUCUCAUUACUUUUUACGAGCUAGAAAUGAGACUUAAUGAGCCUACAGAUCAAAAACUACAACGAUAUGAAAUUAAUUGGCUAAACUUAUUAACCACAUUAAUCAAUAUUCGUUAACUGUGUGUACACUCUACUAAAGACUCACAACUAAACUCUUCUCACUGUAGAUAUAUUUAUGCAUAUGUAUAGACCAAUAACAAUAAGUUAUUCUUUCACGAGUGUUCGUAGCACCAGCUGGAUCAAUUUACCGUUUUACCCCUUGGUUACCUCUAAUCCUUAAAUAUCAGUGCUCCUCUAAUGAAUAACCUAUUUAUGGCUCUUCCAAUAAACGGAAACCCCUCUCGUGCCAUAGAGACAAUAAGGACCCUUUGUUUAAACCCUAGAGACACCAUUUAAGGGAACACUCAUUUACUUACCAUAAAGUACGGAAAGAGUAAAUUUCAUCUUGCGUAAUUAUGUUUUCAGCUCCCCACUUGAUCUUGUCCCCAAAGUAUAAGCUUAUUGAGUCGACAAUCUGGCGACUCUCACUUGUAUAAAUCAAAGGAUAAUCCCUCGCGAACAGGAGUUCAUAAUACACUAUGGAUUAAGUACUCUACAUACUGAGUUUUCGAUGGUCAAUGUGUACAAUCAGAUGUAUUAGGCUAUGUUGACCACUUAGCCGUUGCCACCGAGUUCAGGCAAGAAUAAUAUGAUUAGUGCUCUACUAUCUUGACCGAGAUCAGACAGGAAUAUUAUGAUCAAAGGUGCUCUACUUUCCUGAUCAAGUAUUUAAUCGAGGUUUAGUGGGAUAGUAUGAUAGAAGGCGCUAUGCUAUCUUGUUUGUGUUUUUCAGGGUAUAGUGUAUAUAGAGCUAAAUGAGUAUUUGCAUGUUAGAAAGUAUUCAGUUAAAAGAGAUUUCUUAAAGAUUUUAUGUCAUGUUUAUGAAAUGUUUAAAGUAUAUAUGUUUUAUAAAACUAUCACUCACUAGCUUUUUAGCUCACCCUUUCAAAAUAUUUUUCCACUUUUUAGGUAGAGGUCGUGAUCUGAGAACCUAACCGCUGUCUUCAGACUGCAGUGCGAAACUUGUUGAUAUUUAGUUUUUAAGGGUCAUUUUUUAUCUUACCAUAUACAUGGUUUUGCAUAAGUUUAAGUUGUUUAAUUUUUGUUUGGUCUAUAAGUAAAGUUUGUAAUCAAUGACAUUUAGCCUCAACUACUGGUUAAAAGUAUAAAAUGGGUUUCAAGUUUGUUUGUCGUAGUUUCCGUUGCAUAAAUUUUAUUUUGUCUAAGUUGUUUUAGUUAUUAAGAGUUAUAGUUAUUAGGGUCAGUUGAUGUUAUUCAUAGAGAUAAUGAUAUUGGUUGGUUUCAUCUCGCGUCUGAAGUCGAGUGAGCAGGUGCUCGGGAUGGGGUGUGACAAUAAAAGUUUUCAUUGAUCAUUUCAGUUAUGAGAUGGAAGUUUAAACAAGAAAAAUUCUAGUUUUAAGGCUUCAGACCUCUUGGUGACCAAGUGGAUAAGGAUAUAGCAUACACACUCCAAGGCUAUGAACUUUUUCUAGGAGGUAAAAUUGAUAGUCUCACGUUCAUUUGGUACGUUAUUCUAUGUUGCUUACUUUGUAAUACUAUUCUAUUUUGGAGCUAUUUAGUCAAUUGAUUGUAAAUUCUGACUGUAGUUGAGGAUAUGUGUGGAAGAUAUCCAAAUGCCACAGAGGUCAACAUCUAUGGUGUACCAGCUGUUCACUUGCAAGCAAUUUCUUCAUCAAGGGGAUAGACUUUAGUUUUGGUAUACCACACAUGUUUUUUGUUAUAUAAUACUAUUAUUGUUGUUGAUUUUGGAAUAGGUCACAUACAAAAAAAUUUAGUUGACUAUGUUAGAUUAGAAUUGUGUAAUUGUUGAUGACAUUGUUGAAAUUAAUGAAAUUAUUGUUGGUUUACUUAUUAUACUAAAUUAUUUGUCAUUUUUUGUUGUGUAACUACUGGUUGGAGAGUUUAUUUUGUUGAUAGAUAUGUUUUAUUGAAACGAAUGUACGUAAUGCAGGAAACAAAAAAUGAUUUUUUUUGUAUAUUUAAUAUAUUAAUAAAUGGUAUAUAUGACAUUAAAUACUUGUCAAAUAUGCUAUCUUACUUGAAUCAAAUAUACACUUUUACUUAACAAAUAAUCAAUGUCAAGUAUAUUAUCUUACUUGAUGGAAAAAUAUUGUAAAGUAUAUUAUCUUAUUUGACGUGUAAAUACUGUCAAGUAUACGAUCUUACUUGACGUGCAAAAACCGUCAAGUAUACGACUUUACUUGACACAUAAAAGACGUAAUGUAUACGACCUUACUUGACACAUAAUAAGCGUCAAGUGCGAUAGAUUACUUGACGUUAAUACAAUGUCAAGUAAACGUAUACUUGACUAUUUUUAGUUCAAGUAAUGUGACAGUACUUGACAGUGGAGUACUUGACGUUUUUAAAAAUGUCAAGUAUAUGUUUACUCGACACUGUAUUACCGUCAAGUAAACUAAUUUAUGUAGUAGUGAAUCUUGAAAAAAAUUGUUUAGAUUUGGGUAGUCAAAUCUAAACGACCAAAUCUAAAUGAUCUUGUACCAAACAAUUUUUUUUUUUAAAAAAAAAACGCUUAGAUUUGGAUAGCCAAAUCUAAACAAUUUUGUAGCCAAAUCUAAAGAAUAUUGGUACAAAACAGUGUACCAAAUAUAUUGCUCGUGAGUGGCCAAUUAAUCGCAUGUUGACUGGGGCAUUUUUCGUAUUUUUCAUCAUGGGGCUGUGGUCUUUUUUCAUUUUCAAAAUUGUUCUAUACAAUGAAAAUAUUUUGCCGUUUGUUUAUAUUUUUUAAAAAACCUCUAUUAGUUACAUAAUCUUUCCUUUUUAUUUUAAAUUUUCACGCAUUUAAAUAAAAAGUUAUUUAUUUGCUCGUUAGCUAUCCUUAAAUGAUCUAUUUUCAAUAAAAUUAAAAUAUUUUUUCACUUUAUAGAAUAAUUUUUUAAAAACAAAUAUAACGAAGUGGAAAAAUAUUUACAUUGUAUAAAAAAAUUUCAAAAACGAAAAAAGCUCAUAGACCCACAAUGACAAAUACAAAAAAAAAAACCCUGUCAACAUGCGAUUAAUUGACCAUUCGCGCGCAUAAUAUAUUUAGUACAUGAUCUUGUAGUAAGAUCGUUUAGAUUUGUCUACCCUAAAUCUACACGAUUUUUUUCUCAAGAUUCUUGGGUACAUAAUCGUUUAAAUUUGUCUAUUCAAAUCUAAACAAUUUUUUUUCAAGAUUGAUCGUUUACAUUUGGCUACCCAAAUCUAAACCAUUUGUUUUCAAGAUUCUUUGGUACACAAUCAUUUACAUUUGACUACACAAUUGUUUAGAUUUAGCUACCCAAAUCUAAACGAUUUUUUUCAAUAUUUUUUGGUAUACGAUCAUUUACCUUUAGUGACAUGAUUGUUUAGAUUUAACUACCCAAAUAAUCUAAACGAUUUUUUCAAGAUUUUUUUGUACACAAUCGUUUACGUUUGCUUACACGAUCGUUUAGAUUUAACUGCCAAAAUCUAAGCGAUUUUUUUCAAGAUUAUUUGGUACAAAUUUAUUUUAACUACUCAAAUCUAAACGAUCAUGUACCAAUAUUUAAUUUUUUAAAUAUUUGUUAGAUUUGAUACACCAAAUCUAAACCAAUAUCUGACUAUUUUUGUUCAAAUCAUGUGCAAAUUUAUAUUUGAUACACGAUCCUCAACUGAAUAAAAAUUUGAAAAUUUAAAAAAUAUAUAUGAAAGAAAGAAAACUUGCAGAAGAAGAGAAAAAAGAAGAUGGAAAGAAAAAGAAAAAAAAAAUAUAAAAAUGAAUGACAACCCUCAAAUAUUUUUUAGAAAAUUAUUGCUUUCAGUGAAUAUUUUGAUGUUUAUUAUAUUUCUCAAUUAUUUACUUAAACGUGAGCACCUAAUUAUAUCUUUUGGAAGGCUAAAAUGAUCAACAUUAAUUGAAAUAAAUACUACAAAAUGGUGAGAUUUAAACAUGUGUACUCUAAAUUACGGAAUUUCAUAAAUAAUCAAUUGAAAUUUAAAAUAACAUAACAGCUAAGUUCAUUUUUUUUAAAAAAAUCAUAGCUAAGUUAUUAAAUAAUUAUUCAAUAUUAGAAAUAAAAGUCUUCCUAGAAAAUGGUUGGUUAUAACUCUUAUAACAUUCAACAAAAUAUAUUAAUUUUAAAUCAAGCUUAAAGAAAAUGUUUAUCUCAAUAUUUCACAUGCAAUAUUUCAAAGUAUACACAUAUAUUCAUAUGUAUGUUUUUGCUGUCGCCCAUCCAAUUUUCUUUAAUUAUUAAUGAGUCAUACCUCCAAAUUAUCCAAUUAGGAACUAUUUUUCUCACAUUUCUUUCAACAAAUCACAAAAUUACUUGAGUACAAGUAAAAUUAUAGAGUUUUGUUCUCCAUUUUUCUUGCAUUGUAUAUAUAAUUGAGUACAUAUCUUAUGUUGUUUUACUGAUAAUUUAUUGAUGAAUCCAAUACAAUUACAAUGCAAGAAGAAUAAAUAUACACAGACUAAUGAACGAAUGGGAAAUAUUAGUUGAAAUUAAGGGUAAUUAACAUCUUGUAUGUAUAGAAUGUAAUUAAUUUUUGUGGCCCUCCAAUGAGAGCAAGCAUUUCAAGAAAACUAUAUUGGAAUAGAAACAAACUUGUCUGUCUAAUAAGUUAGAAUCUGUACUUUAGCUCUUUAUUAACAUACCGACUCAGAAGGAUAAGGUCCUUAUACAUGAAAAUCCCAAAAACGAAGAGAAGUGGGAAGAAAAUGAAAAGAAAUUGGAUGGAUUAUUAGAGAGAAUAACCUAGAAAAUGGCAUAAAUAUGUUUAUAUAAAUGUUGGAGUUUCGCGAGAGCUUGUGGGUUUUGCAUGAGCAAGAUGACAUUUGGAGCACAAGUGUACUCUUUACGGGCAACUUUAUAUCUUUUGCAAUCGCUUCUUCCAUCGAUUGAAUUAAGCUCCAUUCUAGUUUAUUUUGGCUCCAUUUUGUCAAUAAACACAAAACCUAAAAUAAUCUCCAACAAAGUGAACCUAAGAUUACACGUUUUAUAUGCUAUCAUAAUUAUUGUUUAUUUUAAUUUUUUUGUUUAUCCUCUUCUUAUUUUUACUAUGGAAGUAAGAGACUUUACUUACAAUGCAACCCUAAACAUAAUUAGUUACCACAAAGUAAUAAUUUGACAUUGAAUAGUGCAUUAAAUAGAAGUGUAAAACACAAUAGAUCAAACAUGAAAAUCUAAAGCAAAUCAUACUAAAAUAAAACUAUAAAACAUAUAUUCGAAGGCAUACUACAAAACAGUUCAAGCUUAUAUGGACUGAACCCAUGGAUACAAAGAAAAAAACAAAUGUAAGAGUAUGAGCUGUGGUUCAUUUGGGUGAAAGUGUAAAAAGGACAAGAAGUGACAACAACAUGACUCAAGAAGGUUUUGUGAAAUUAAUAAUCAAUUGAAAAAAAUAAAUGUAGGUGAUAGAGGGUAGAGAUUUGCAAGCUCAUUGUGGGCUCAUUGAGAUUGAUAUUUGUCUCUGCAUUUUUAGCCACACUCACAAUAAUCCAAAAUCCAUCACUUCUUUCUGAACCAUUUUUUAGUUUUCUUGGGAAAGAAAGAAGUAAUCUAAGUGUAAAAGAAAAUCCAAUAUAUGGAAAUUUUCCAACUAGAAAUUAAUACAAAAGUGAUAUUGUUCCUCUAAGCUAUUGACCACAAGAAAAGUGAAAAUAAAGGUUUUGUAAAACAUGUUUUAUUUGACUUUAUGAUCUCUUCUUUUCUAAGGACAUUGCUUUAAUGAAAAGUUAUGACUCAGCCAUCAAAUUAAAAAAAUUAUUCAAAUUAAAUCUCAUUGAAAAGUGACAAAAUGGUAUAUCUACGAUAGUAAAUUGUAUAUACAUUGUUUUGUAUGUUAGGGUUUACAUAAUAAAGCUUUCAACCAUGUGUAUUCAAUUGUUACCUUUUUCUAAAUGUAUGGAAGUAUAUGGAUUUUUUUUUCUAGUACUACACUUUUAAAUAAACACAUUUAUUGACUUACACUCACGAGAUGUUUGAUCAUCGACUUUAUAAAUUGCUAUUAAAUAACAUAAUUUUUAAUAGUGUUUACCAACAAAAUAGGUUCAUUCAUAAAAAAAUUCAUCUCACAUCUUUACACAUAAUUUGAUCGUUGACCUCUUUAUUUCAUAAACUUUAAACUUUAUAAUUCAACUCAAUAUCUCAAAUACUCGAAGAGAACUUAUGAGAGUAGUUUUAACUCUUUCUUAGAGUUCUUCAAAACUAUAUGUUUAACCAUGUUUUGUGAGGACUAUAUUUUGAAUGGAAAAAAAAAGCACAUAUUCCCCUUCUAAAAUCAUACCAACUUAAUUAUAUAUAUAUAUGUAAAAGUAGGGUUAUAGUCAAAAGGAAAAGGGGCUUUGGAGAGAGGCUAAAGACAAAGUUUGUAACUUGGAGGUUUUUCCUUUUAUUUUUGUUUAUUUAGUAUUACUUUGCCUAAUAUCUUAGUAAGAAAGGAAUUUUAAAGUAAGAAGGUACAAGUAUAUAUAAUAUAUACCUCUGAUUGACAGCCAUUGAAGUAUGGGAAAAAGGAGCUAUAUAGUUGAUAUGAGUGUAGAAUAUAUGCUUACCAAGAACCUAAUGAGUGUCCCAUCAACAAAACUCUUAUCUUUUCUAAAAUGAAUAUGAAAAGAUGUAAAGUGAAUCCAUUCUUUAUUUGUACAAUUAGGUUCCUUUCUCCAAACUUUGUUUAAAUAUCUUUUAUGUGACCCCUUGAUUAAUUAUGUUCUUCAUUCUAUUUAAAAUUUCUCUUGGAGAAAUUGGUUUGAGAGAGUGCAUAUUUUAGAUUAAACCCAUUGUUUUCAGAUGUUUAACUACCUAUCAAAAGGUAAUUUUGAAAAUAUGUGAAAUACAAAAAGAGGGGAAAAAAACUCGAUCUAUUUGAGGAGAAAAUAGUUAGAGUUGUAUCAAAUUUUCUCGACAUUGAUUCGUGGAAUAUGUUUUCAGAUUCCACAUUUUUAAAAUCUCGAAGCACUUGUUAAAAAACAUUCUUUCAAUUACAUAAAAAUAAAUUCCAAAAUAUUUUCAAAACAAAGAAAUUAAUAAAAGGCUUACCUAAUCGUUGAGUUGCUCACAAAAACAUGUGUAAUUCAAGAAAUACGUCAUUACUUUAAUUUAAUUUGGUAAAUUAAAAAAUUAGAAAAAUUGUAAAACAUACAACAUUUGACAAAAUAUUUACAUAUCAUUCAAAAAUCAAGUAUAAUAAAUUCUCUCUUCUAGUGGGUUUUUUAGGGGCUCUUGCAAAAAUAGCAAAAAAAGAUAAAAAAAAUGAUAAUAGAGCUCAUGUCACUACAUUUUCUACUUUAUAAAAAUAGCAAAAUUAAAAGUCGAUAAUUCUUUGAUAACCCUCCAAUAACUUUCUGAUAGUCGUCUGAUAUCACUAAUUUUGUUAAUUUUUUUUAAUGUUUUUGUCAUCUAAUACAAUUUUCGUUUUUUAAUGAAGCGUAAAUAGUUUUUCAAUUUUUUUUAUUUGUGUAAAAACUCCGUUGAAUAACCUAAUUUACAAUAAUAAUUUUUCUUUGAUAAUUGAAAAACAUUUUCCUUGUUAGUAAUUGACCUUGGCCAAGGCAAUAUCAUCCAAGGAAAGAAGUUUAUAAACUAUUUAUUUACACUCACCUAUUUUUUUUUUCUCUACAAAUGUUGAAAGAUGUCAAAUAUUGUGGCUCAUAAAGCUUUGAUUACACAAUUUUGACAUUUAAUUCAUGGAGCCUCAAUAUUUGACAUCUUUAAAACUUUGUAGGAUAGAAGAACUUUUGUUUGAGUUACACAAUUUCCCAUAAUUUUAUAGACUAAUGAAGGAAAUUAUUAAUCAUAAGAAACAGUUAGAGAAACAAAUAAAGACCCUACUUUUGUUUUUUAUCUCCAAGUUUAGUCAUUUUUUCUUUUUGAUUAAUUAUUGAAAUGGAUAAUAGCAAAUUGUAAUCAAAUAAUAGAAUGAAGAAAUUAUUAGGUCCAUAAAUGGACUUUUGUUAACCAAAAUUCAAGGAACCAUCUCAAACCAACCACAUGGGUAUAUAGGAUUUUGUUACUUAUGGAAACUAACAAAAAUAUUUGGAACCCUACUCUCUCUUCUUCCCAAAAGCAGUAUAAACUCUAUGAAAUUAGCAGAAUGUCAAAAUUAUUUCAUUAAAUAACGAAAAAUAUUAUAAAAUGAAGAAUCAUAUUACAAAUUUAGUUUUCAUGGAAAGAAAAAUGAAUUUAUUAUAAAUACUAUUAAGUAGAUAUAUAUACAUCCAUUGUGUUUAGUAUCACGAUGACAUGUAUCACUUCUUCCACACCUUAUUUAAAUUUUUAUGUGUCUUGAAGAUAUUAAAUCUUAAGGAUGGCGUUUGGGACGCAAAGUGGGUUAUUAUAGUCUGGGAAUUAUGAUAGCUUAUGUUCGAGGUGUAAAGCUUUAUAGUUUAGGUUAUUAUAGUCUGUGUUUGGGGUGCAUAUUAUUAUAGUUCAAUUGGUAGCAGUAUGUAAAAUAAACAUUGGUUAUCUUAUAUCAUGUUUAUUUCUUUUUCACUAUUGUUUUUUGUCAUACAUAUAUUUGGUACAUGAAAUACCAUUUUUUUGAAAACAUAGUUCAAAUUGUACCUUCCACUAACUUAUACAAACUAGCAGAUUACUACUUGUGAUUCAAAUGAUUUUGACACAAACUACCCAACAAACAUUAACUAUGAGCUAUUUCUUACGAAUAUACAAUAAACUUUCCUAAAAGGAAAGGAUCAGGGAUAGGGCGGAAACAAAGUAUUUUGGAUAUGGCAGAAUCAAAAUAGUACACUAUACAAUCGAAGUAUGAAUAUGCCAUAAACUCUCCUAGAAAGAGGGAAUAAGGGAUAGGGCAAACACAAAAUAUUUUAGAUAUGGCAGAGAUUAAUAUAUAUAUAUAUAUAUAUAUAUAUAUAUAUAUAUAUAUAUAUAUAUAUAUAUAUAUAUAUAUAUAUAUAACAAGAGAUAUGACAGUGAUUUGCAGUAAUGGAUACUAAAAAUAUGGUAGAGAUAGAUAUGAAGCAACAAAAUAAAAAAGAAUUAAACAACAAUAUUUUUGUAACGACCCAACUCCUUAUACUAAGCUGAAGUCAUUACUAUUUAAAUAAAUAACAAUUUUCAUUUUUUAAAAAAAAACUAAAUCUUAAUAGAUAAAUUCAAAUACUCGUUCACAAAUCAUAAUUUUGAAAAAUAAGAAAAGUGCUAGGUAAACAUAGUCCUAGUUUCUGUCCUAUCUAAAUUUUAAAGAAAAUGUCAUAAAAUAAUUAACGAGUAACGAUAAAUUCCAAUAAAAUAAUAAAAAUCAAAAUACUGUAAAUAUGAAAGGCGAAAGUAAAUGUAGUUCCCCUAUGGCAAGUGAUAACUUAUAGAAAUAAAAGUUAUUAAGGUCUAUUAGGUAGAACAAUGGAGUCAGAACCUGGAAAAAAGUGUCAUAAUGCAUAGCUUUCAUCGCAAAUUUAUAAAGAUAAAAGAAUAUAACUUACAUAAGUCUUCAUCCCUGUUUUACCAUGCUUUUACUGUUUUUAUCACAAGAUUAUGAAGAAAAUUAAAGGAGAGGUAUAGUGAAUCACAAGAGGAAUGCGUGCUAAACGUAUGCGAUAGGUGGUAGGUUUGGAAUCAACUUAUGCAAUGUUGUGUAUGAUGUCUAUAUCUAAUUCUAAAUGAUGAGGCAUGGUCAUGCGAGAUGCUCUCUAUGUCUCUAAUCCUCACGUAACUAGUAAGUCCUCGUUGAGUACAAGUUUUUUUAUUACUUGUUCAAGUAUAAACAAAACAAUAGAUUUUCUGAGUAAUCUAAGGUUGAAUACAGGGAAUUGAUACCAAAUCUUAGCUAUAAGGCCCACUCUUUAUCUAGACAAUAUAAAAUCGUUAUCUAUACAAUAUAAGGUAUGCAUGUCUAAGCAAAACUACUAUUUACACUAGAGAAUUUGUAAAAAGGAAUGAGAAUGGUGACAAGAUAGAAAUGUGAACUAACUUUUGUUAAGAAAGAGUGAAGGAAGGUCUCCGCGUAACUAGGCGAUUAAGCCAUGCGACAGUCUUGAUGCUAUAGAAAUUAGCUAACUAGCUUAUAAUUAAGGCGAGCACCUCUUAGUGAAUUAAAUGUCACACUUGCUUGCCUCUCAGGAUGCAAAUGAUAAAAUUUGAUUAAGUGAGAUCUAUCUGAAAGGGUUUACUUACAAGACUUAUAACACUUCUCUUUUAAGGGUGACAACCUCUCGGCGCCAAGUACCCACACUUGUUCUCCUUUCGAGACACAUAUGAUGGAAGUUAUUUCGUAAAGGUGGAGUUUCUCUUGAAAAUCCUCCUUACGCGCAUUAGUCAUAUUCUUGUUACUUGCUCUCUCGAGUAGUUGGCGAUAUACACUGGUCAAGUGAUGAUUAUAGUCCAAUUAACGUGAUAAGCUUUAUAAGCUAAACUUCUUAUCAAGAACUUAUCACAAACUUAAACUACAGAUAACAGAUUGACAGAUGAACAAUAAAGGAAUGUUGGAUUAAAAUGGUAAAAACAUGCAAUGUAUUAAAGAGUAUAAGCCUUAGGCCACUGUACAGUAUGAAUACAUACUUUACAAAGAAAUACAAAAUGAAAAAUAAAGAGAAUGAACUUUACAAGUUAGGGGAAAGGAAUGAUGGAAUCUUCUCUACGCCAACUCUAAGUUUUCACUAGAUUAACCGAAGAAGAAGAAGAAAUGCUUUUACAGACGAUGGAAGGGCUACUCCUUUCCACCACUCUCUAGGAUUUUGGUCGAUUCAUACAGAUGCCUAACUCCUCUCGAAGCCGACCCGCUUACUUGGCAGGGAAGGAGUCCUUUUAUACGCAACUUUCGAUGGGAAACUUCUAUUCUUUUGAUCAUAUCAGUGCCGAUUGCAAUCUUGUCAAGUCACAUCAACUCCAACUACCAUUCUCGUCUUCUAGUAAAUUCCUCAUCCAAGAAUAUCUCUGUCUUAUGGUGCCUAUGGUACUUAAGACUCAUAACAUAACAUAGAUCCUCACCUUGAAAUUGUACUUGCCAAGCAAGGUUUUGUCAUUUAGUCCUUCGAACGUGCUCCUCUACGACUCGCUAGUUUCUUCUUUUAUUCCUAAUCUUGCGUUAAAACACUAAAGACAUGGUGAAAUAGGCAUGGAGACUUAUGUAAAGUGUAUUUUCUAAUAUUUAUGAAUUUAUGCUAUAAGCCACACGUUUUUAUCCCAUUAUUCUUUUUAAAAGACUAUAAUAACUUAUAUUUCUACAAGUUAUCAAUAGGCCACAUCAUCACGAAAAAAGAUUCAUUAGAAGACAAGAAUGGUAGUUAAAGUUGUGUGGCUUUACACAAUGUUGCUUUCGGGGUUGACAUGUGCGGAGGAAUAGAAGUUGCCAUCUAAAGUAGCUUAUAUAAAGCCUUCAUCUCUACCAUGUAAAAGUGUAAGGUCUGAGUGGACCAAAUCCUAGAGAGCUCCAGAAGGGCUAUCUCCAAUAUGAGAGCUAGUGGAAAGGAUUCCUUUCCACCUUGUGUAGAAGUUCUUCCCUUUCUCCGGCUCUUCUCCGGUCAACCUUUUGAGUGAGAGCUUAGGGAGAGAUUAGAGAGAGAAACCACUAUCCAUUUUCUCUUACUUGAAAAAGAGCAAAAUAAUGUAUUUUUAUGCAUUCUGCGACUUGACUCCCUUUCUUACUUUUCAUUUUGUAUUAUUAAUGUAAUGUUUUGACUUUAUUAUUUACAUGGCCAAAAGGCCUACAUUAUCAAUAUAUUGCAAUUUUAUUUCCUGCCAAUCUAUCAUUUCUAUACUGUUCAUCUAUUGAAGUGUUAUUAGUAAUUUAAGUUCAUGAUAAGUUCUUAUAAGAGAUCUUUACUUAUAAGGUUUAUCACAUUUAGCUGAGUUUGACUCCAUCGCUUGGUCAACGUUCCUCAUCAACUACUCAAGAGAGUAAGUAGCAAGGACAUAGCUAAACAUGUGCAUGAAGAAGUUUAGAUGUAAAGUCCUAGUUUAGGAGUGAGACAUGAAUGAACCGGUAUCAUAUCUAAGUGAGAGGGAUCCUGAGGAUAUGAAAUCAAGAUAUGAAAGUAAUGUUAAGAAAGACUUAAAAGAAUUAAAAGUUACUACCUAUACCAACAAGGUGCACUUUCCUUUUCUGUGGCUCGAUCAUAGGAUCUCCAAAGUUAAGUGUGCUUAGCUUGGAGCAAUUCCAUGUUCGGUGACCUCCUGGAAAUUUUCUUAGAAUGCAUGUGACUGACGAGACAAUGCAUGCUGAAAGGACUUAAGUUGGUUUGUGGUGCACUUAUGUAGAUUGUUAAUAAUAUGAAACCAUAUAUUGCAUUCUCAAUAAAUUUAUUAGCCAUAUAUAAUUCGUUUCCGACAAAAAGACUUUGGAAUGAAAUGAAGCAUGUACUUCAUUAUCUCUGAGGAACGAGCGAUAUGAAUUUGUUACAUUAAAAUAUAUCAAAAUUUAAUAUAGUUGGUUUUGUAAAUUCUGGAUAUUUAUCUGAUCCACAUAAAGUUAGGUCUCAAAUAGAUUAUUUGCUAAUAAAUGGAGGAACUGCUAUAUCAUGAUGAUCAUUGAAGCAAACCAUAACAGUUACUUUCUCAAAUCAUGUUAAAUUCUUACAAUUCACGAUGUUAGUUGAGAAUGUGUAUGGUUCAGAUCAAUGACUCAACACAUUCGAUUAGGAGUGUGUACCUAUGAUCACUCGCAUGACUAUGUGUUCCUACGAAAAUCACUCACGAUUAAAGGUGUUCAUACGGUCUUACUAACCCAAGUGUGCUCCACUGAGCUCACGACAUUAUUUUUAUGUUCCUAAAUGGAAGUUAACAGAUUACCGACUGGGACCAAUAGUAGGUCAUUUACGAGGUAUAUUUUUAUACACUCACUAUUUUUUAUAUUUAAUAUUUCAGGCAAAAGGUAAAGGAUUUGAAAAGCUAGCGAUCGAUAGGAAGGGCCCGUGACAUGCCAUAUGGAGACCUUAUUCUACUUUCGCUUCUAUUUAUUUCAGUUUUUCAGUAUUAUGUUUUUUAGACAUUUUUAAUUAAAUUUUUAUCCUAUUUGUUUAACUUUAUUUUAUUUAAAGAACUGUUAGAACCUGCAGGUCAUAUUUUCAUUGGAGAAGAUAUGCUCAAUUUAUUAGAAGAGACACUCUAUUCAUUGGAUAAGAGAUGCUAAAUAUAUAUAAAAACGAGACAAUAUAAUCGUUGGAGAAGUAAUGCUUAAUUUUUUUUUGAAGAAGAUCAAUUUGUGGAUAAGUUUGUUCUAGUUGGUUUUAAUAAAUUUGAGUUGACGUAGUUUCAGACUCAAUCACCACAAGGCACAAUUUGAUUAGAUGAGUUACUUAGUAUCACAUUUGUCGAUAAUUAAUUUAAAUUAAUGACAUGUCAAUUUAUGAUUGACCAAAAUUUCUUAGUCAACAAUAACUAUUAUGAAUAUUUAAGUUCUUUGCCAAUUUUUUUAAUUUAAAAAAUUAUAUUUUUUUUUUAGUUUUAAAAUUUUGAUUUUGAUUAAAAAAACACUACUCUAUAAAUCUAAAUUAUACAAAAUAUAGAAAACAAUAAAAGUAAUAUCAAUUGUGUUUAUUUUUAUUUAAAACAAAAAAUUAAGGACGAUUUGGUAAUUUUUUGGUUAUUGUUUAAUUUUUUAAAAUUGUGUUUUCUUUCAAACAUUUUUUUAUGCAUGAUUUUCAUAUUUGGUAAGUAAACAUUUAAAACCUUAUCCAAUUUUAAAAUCCAAAAGUUUCUUUUUUAAAACAUCUUGAUCUUAAAUACUAUUUGAGCCAAUCUUUUGCUUACUACUCAACAAGAUUUGUUGAUUUUAUUAAGAUGGAUGAUACCAAUUAUGUUAGGCAAGUAAUAUCUCUCCUAGUACAAUCAUAUAAUUGGAAUUGGAUAUUAGAUAAAUAACAAAUCAAUGAGAGACUUUUCACUCACUUAACCAAUCAUGACUACCAACCAAAAUUUUGAUGCAACCUUGUCAAUUUAAAGUGAUUGAUUUUCUUUUCUUUUUCUUUAUUUUCUCUUUAGAAGAAACUUCUAUUGAUUGUAUGUUUAAUUAACAUAACUGACUGUACGAUUGGAUUGUUUAUGAAAAAAUAUUUUUUAAUAAUAAAUUCUUUAAAAAAUCUUUUCUGUAAAAUGAGUUUAAAAUCUAAACACUUUCAUGUUUGGUUUGACCUCUUUAUAAAUAUUUAUAUGUAAAAUUGUGUUUGAUUUGUCCUAUACUAACAAAUGUUUAUACUUAAUUCAAAUUACUAUAAAAGUCUAUUAAACAUUGUAAACUGAUUUCAUAAAUAAAUACACGUAUUUUGAAUUUUUUUUAGAAAUAUAUUUUAAAAUUAAUUGCACGUUGUUUUGAAAUUAUUAAUUUUGUAGUUACUUAAAACAUUAAUUUCAUUUUUUGUAUUAAUUUUCUUGGAUAAUUCAAUUUUAGAAGCACAAAUAACUUGAAAUGUAAAUACAUAACUACAAAAAAAAUAUUUGAUUCCCAACAAUAAAAUAUAUAUAAAUAAGAUAAAUAUUUUUUUCGAGACAAUAUAAUAUCAAUUAGACAAAAAGAUGUACAAUUUGAUCGCGAUCUUAAUUCAUCUUUAAUUCACGAGCCGAAAAUUCAUCAUUGACAUCCUCAUGAUUUCUUUCACAAAUGUUAGGGUGAAGUAGAUUUGGUUGAGAAAUGAACAUUUGUAAAUCCCUAUAUUUAAAUGUAUAUGAUCACACAUUGAAAAAAAUUCAAAGUAUUUGAAAAUUAACAAAAACAAAUAGAAAACAAAACAAAAAGAAUGACAGAGUGAAAAAUAGAUAGUAAAAAUGAAAAUAAAAAAUAGAGGAAGAAAAAUAGACAUUUGGAAGAGAUUCCUCGUUAAACACCAAAGAAACAUUUAUUCUAAAAUUUAGUUGCAUAUGUUUUCUCUAAAAUGAUUUAUUUUAUAAUCUCAUUUUUCUAAAACUUAUUUUAAACCAAUACGAAACACCUCAAUUUAUCUUAAAAUGAAUUAUUUUAAAAAUUAAACACUUCAAAAAUCAAUCCAAACACACUUUUACAAAUUGUUGGGCGGGUGAAAAUUGUGUGGCACCCUAGUUAUCAUACAUAAAGAAAAAGAGAAACAUGAUUGUAAAUCCCUUCUAAAAUUUAAAAAUAUGUUUAAAUGACACAUUUAAAAUUAGAACUAAAUUGUUAUAGGACCAGCUACUUACCUUCUUUUAUGUCUUUCAUGAUGUUAUCUAUUUUUCUAAUAAGUUAAUUCUAAUUAAUUUAGUUUUAAUUUCACUUGAAAUAUAUAUGUAUCUAUGACUUUUCAUUUUGUUAAUCGUUCUAAGACUUUACAUCUCAUAUAUUUGUACUAAUAUAUUAUUGUUUUUACAGGUCCUUACUUGUUUAAGGUGUUGAAUUGAUAUUAAAUGUUUAACGUUUAUAUGCUUGAAAGUUUAUAAUGUUUGAGGAGUUUGAUAACAUAUAUAAAUACUCGUUAUUAUAGUCCUUUUUAGUAGAAUAAUGAGGAUAAUACACAUAAAAAGAGUAUCAAAGCACAUAAUCUAUGUUGUAAAUACAUAAGUAUUUAGAAAUAUAUACGUAUUUAGAAAGCAUUUAGAAAUACAUACGUAUUUAGAAUUACAUAAGUAUUUAGAAAUACAUACGUAUUUAGAAAGUAUUUAGAAUUAUAUACGUAUUUAGAAAUACAUCUUACACAAGCAUUAUGCCUGUUUAGGCGAUUGCCAUGUCUAAACGUAGGAUGAUUAAAAAGGCAGAAACUAGUGAAUCAUAGGAGACAUCUUUUGUAAAGGCUACGUGAUGGGAACUCAUUUGGUGAAAGGAAUAGUCUUUCAGCUAGGCUGUAAAGAGUUUCUUCUUCUUCUCCAAUGAAACUUUUGUUGGGAUUUAUAUCCUAAAACUCGUAGAUUGUAAAUAUAAUUUAUUGACUGUUGUUAAUAAAAUGUUAUUAUAGUAAUAAUUGUUAUUGACUAUAUUAUUAGUUUUGUCUUAAUAACUAAAAUACAGUAAACUAACAUCUUAAGCUGUUUGAUAUGUCUUGAAUAGUAUGUAGAGACAUACAGAGAUCAAUGUUCGAGAUCAACUUAAUGGGUCUAUAGUAUAGGGAUAAGAUUGGGCACCUUAUCCUGGUAAAACUAUGGACACAACUCACUUUAUUUUUUUUAUAUAAACAUAAUGAUCAAACGCGUUCGUGUAGGUGACAUGGGAGUGAGGGUAUCCUAUACAAUGAGUUUGCAUAUGAGCAGACCACAAAAUAGUAACCAAUAGAUGUAACUCUAUUAACUAGUUAGGUUUCUAUUUCGUUAAGAUGACCUAGGUAACUUAGUCUAAAUCAUGAGUGUAUUAUGAACUCCUGUUCGCGAGGGAUUAUCCUUUGAUUUGUAUGGGUGAGAAUGGUCGGAUCACCGACUCAAUAAGCUUAUCAUUUUAAGAACAAGACUGAGUUGACAGUUGGAAACAUAAUUAUAUAAGCUGGAAUUCACUCAUUCCCUACCUAACAGUAAGUAGAUGAGUGUUCCCUUAAUGGUGACUUCAAGACUUGAACAAAGGACUCUACCCUCUCUAUGGCACGAGAGGGGUUUCUGUUUAUUGGUUAGACCAUAAACAGGUUGUUCAUUAGAGGAGCACAGGUAUUUAAGGAUUAGAGGUAACCCAGGGGUAAAAUGGUAAAUUGACCCAGCUGGUGUUACGAACACUCGUGAAGGACUAACUUACUUUUAUUUUUCUAUAUCCAUGGACACAUAAAUUUAUCUACCGUGAGAAAAGUUCAGUUGUGCGUCUUUAGUGGACACAUAGUUAACAAAUAUUGAUUAAUGUGGUUAAUGAGUUUAGCCAAUUUAUCUCACAUCAUUGUAGCUUUCUGAUCUGUAGGUCUAUUAGGUCACCUUUCUAGCUCGUAAAAGGUAAUAAGAUUUAUUUAUAUUUGUUCUAAUUUGAAAUGUUCAAAUUUAUAUUUGUUCUAAUUUGAAGUGCCUCUUCCUUAAACACCGUAUAACUCUUUUAUGUAGUACUCGACUUUUGACUCUCAUAUACGAUGGAGUGUCCAUUCUGCACAAGACAUAAUCCAACGUAUAAUCGGAUACAUCAACAUGAGCUUCAAUAGGUCCGGUUACACCCACAGACCCCAUAGUUGGCCCUUCCAUUUGGACUUGAUUCAAGACACGAUUGUCGACACACAACCGUACAUUUCCAUUAUCUUCUUUCCGUAAAAAGACUUGGACUUCGUACAAAGCAUUUGCAGGUCUAAUUAAUCUUGCACUUGACAAUCUGUUUGACUGCCUCUGAAGUUCAGGUAACUCUAGUGGCACCAUAUGACAAGCAUUCUUUGUAGGCGAUUCUAACUUGGGUAAACUAUCAACCAUCUCAUCCCAAUACUUCUCCAUGACACACCUUGUGUCUUUACGAAGUGUCUCCCCCAAGCUAUCUGCAAACUCAAAUGAUGUGACCUCAAAUGUUGUUUCGUCUCGAAUGAGGCCCUCUCUCAGUUGCAUGGCCGGAAUCAUUCUCAAUCUUUUGGGUUGGUUGAAAGCAUUAGGAUCACCUGAUGUUCAAGGAGGAAUUCCAUUCCAGGUACUACAUCAAAGUCAUCCAUACAUAUAACCACAAAGUCUACAGGCCCGCUUCAUCCUUCCAACUGUAUCAUCGUUCGUUUCACUAAUUCGACGACAGGUAAAAUUGUAGAAUUCAUGACCUUCAUUUUUUCUCUAUCCUUCUUCCAAUGAAUGUUCAUCCAUCUUACUUCUGUCACCAUUAUGAAAUUGUGGGUUGCAUCAGAGUCAACCAUAUGCUCUUCGCGUGCUUCCAGUUGACCUAGGUGUCAACAUAUAUUAGAGCCCCUUUCACAUGUUUACUUGUCUCCCCCACUUUCUUCUAAAGACAGAACAAGAAUCUUAUGGCUCCUACUCUAGGAUUCUCAACUUCCUCUACUUGGCCAACUUCCUUUUUUAAUUGACUCAACUUGUCAUCUGAGUCUGAAGCAAAAGAGGUCUGAAAGGCAUAGAAGGGCAAUUUAUUCAGACACUCCUUAGCUCGAUGUGACCCGUCACAUAUGUAGCAACUGAAAUGAUGACUUCAUGUGUUCAAACUAUUAUGUCUUCGUCAGGUGUUCCCUGUGUUGGGUUGGGAAGAUUUGCAAUCUCUACCGGAACUUCUGUCUUCAUUGUCAGCUUCAGGAGAAUUCGACCGACUUUUAGAUAUAAUUGGUUUUUUCUUGAAGGAUUUGUUGGAAAAUUUAGAAAAAGUUAAUUUGUGAAAUUUUCCUACCAAUUCAACCUCAAUUUUCGGUAAGUUAAAUUGAAAAAUUUUAGAAGUUGGCUAAUUAAAAUUUGUUAAGUGAAGUGAUUGAAAUUUUUUCCUUAUUGUUUAGGAUUGAUUUUAAAUGGGAAAAAUUGAUUGACAACCAAGGAUUUUCUUUUAGGUAAUCUCAGGUAAGAGAUGCUACUAUUGGACCCUCGAGUGAAAAUUUAAGAUUGUGCAUGUAUUGACUGAUUGUGCAUUGACAAUUGGUAAAAUGCAUAGAUGGGUUGUAAGAGAUUAUACUACUCGACCUUCGAACAUAAAUUUAAGAAUCUACAUGUAUCGACUGAUUAUGCAUUGACACUAAGUAAAAUGCGUAGUUGAGUUGUAAGAGAUUAUACUAUUGGACCUGGAAACAUAAAUUUAAGAUCAUGCAUGUAUUGACUAAUUAUGCAUUGACAUUAGGUAAAAUAUAUAAAUGAGUUGUAAGAGAUUCUACUACUGCACCUUCGAGUGAAAAUUUAAUAGUGUUGCAUGUGUCUACUGAUUAUGUAUUGAGAGGCUAAAAUGCAUAGGUGAGUAUGUAGGAGUUGUUUGUAACGACCCAACAUUUCUAAGUAAGUCGAGGUCGUUAAUUUUUAACAAAUAAACUUUGAUUGAUACAAAUCGAAACAUAAGUCAAUUUAAAAACAAAACAUGUCAGGCCUGAUUUUCAAAUAUUCAAGAAAACUUAACAACAACACUAUUUACAAAUAAAAGUUUGUAAACUAAGUUUUAGUACAUCUUAAACCUUAAAAGAAAUCAUAAGCGGAAGCAAAAUAACACAUUCCCUAUGGCAAUCACGCUUCCUUCCUGCCCCUCGCCGGUUUGCCACCUUUAUUUCCUUUGCCUGAAAAUUAAACAUAAGAAGGGUGAGUAUAACAAUACUCAGUAAGAGACCCUCUACUGGUCUCGUCAGGGGAAAAUAAAUUGUUAAAGUUCUAUUGGGACACCCUGUACAGUCGCAGUCUUGUGAUCCCGUAGGAUACACAUUUCAGUCUAACGCCCCGAAGGACGUACAUAUCAGUCUGACGCCCCGAGGGACGUACAUAUCAGUCAAGUGUUCUGCAGAACACAUAUCAGUCAAAUGCUCCCGAAGGUGCAAAAUAAAUUGGUGAUCCCGUGGGACACCUACAAGGUAAUCAUCCCAAUACAACCUAACAAUCUAUCCCCUCAUUCCAUUCAACCCAUCCUUCAGAUACUUCAAAACAUAGAGUUCUUUCUCUCAACGUCCUAACAGUCAACUUAUCUCACUUAGGUCAUAUGUCUGUCAAUAACAUACUAAUACAUCAGUCAAUCAAACUAUACAGUCAAUACACCCCUCAGAUCACCAGCACACAGUCAUACUUUAGCGUAACGACACCCAAUCUAAACGACAAUCACAAGAUCGCAUCUGCAUCUCAUACAAGCAUAAUCUACAAUUUUCGUCCUGUCCACAUCCACACACAUAUAUAUAUAUUCCAUGACAAUCACAAUAUGCAUUCCACAUUAAGUCUACUUCAAUUCCUAUGCAUAUAUAUAUAUAUUUUCAGUCAAUCCACAGUGUACAUUCAGCACCGAAUCUACACCCAUACGUGUAUAAACAUAAGUAUCAUCUCAACAUCUUUACUCAGUCAAAGAUAAUCAUUUAGACAUGCAAUUCACAAUCAUAAGUGAGUCCAGUAGAAAAUCCCUUACCUUCAAAUUUGUUAAGCUCCUUAACCACGUUGAAGUCUAUGAAGAACGAACCUAAACAUUAAGAAAAUUUCUCAAUAAUUCCCUUCAACGCAUCAGUCAUUUAAAUUCAACCCAAUGUGAAUCUUUUUGCAACUUACCCAAAUCUUCGCGAAAGAAAUCGAGCAGUGGCUUUGCGAAGAGAUGACGUGCGGCGGAAAGACCGUAUACAGAUGGCCGGAGAGUCGCGCGGCAGUGCAGACGACGGAGGAGAAGAAAUCGGCGGCGGCUGGGCUGAAAACAGAGGAGAAAGGAGAGGGGAGACAGCCGGCGGUUACAGGUUCACGCGGCGGCCUUGCUUCGCGAACAGAGAUGGCGGCCGACGGUUGCAGCGACGUCCGGCUGGGUUUGGACGGAACGGAGAGGAAAAGAGAAGAUGGAGAUGGCCGACGGCAGUUGCUGUGCGAACGGAUGGGGCGGCUGACUGCGGUUGGCUGCGGCAGGACGGGAAGAAGAAUAGGGAAAAUGGGUGGGCGGCUGCUAGGGUACCGGAAGGAGAAGAAAAGAAAAAUGAGAGAGGGGUUGUGUGCGCGCGAGAGAGAGAGGUAAAUUUCUUUUUCUUUUCUUUUUAUUUAAAUUAAGUAUAAAAAUAUAUAUAUAUAUAUAAAAUUAAAAACAAAAUAUAUAUAUACAUACCUUUGGGGCAUUACAUUCUUCCCUCCUUAAGAAACUUUCGUCCUCGAAAGUUCUAAUCCUGAAAUAACUCUGGAUAACGAGUCCUCAUUUCUUCCUCUCGCUCCCAUGUCGCCUCUUCAAUUCGAUGAUUCCGCCACAAAACCUUUACUAAUGGAAUGCUUCUAUUACGAAGCAUCUUUACCUCUCUAGCCAGAAUCUCCACAGGUUGUUCUACAUAGCUCAAAUGCUCAUCAAUCUCCAAGGGUUCAUAGUCCACUACAUGAGACGUAUCGGCCACAUACUUCCUCAACAUCGAAACAUGGAAAACAUUAUGAACUGCAGAGAGUGAUGGUGGUAAUGCCAAGCGAUACGCCACAACACCAACCCUCUCUAAGAUCUCAAAUGGUCCAACAAAACGAGGACUUAACUUCCCUUUCUUCUCAAAACGCAUAACACCCUUCAUAGGUGCUACCUUCAAGAAUACCUUUUCUCCCACAUCGAACUUAAGGUCUUUUCGCCGUACAUCUGCAUAACUCUUCUGUCUACUCUGCGCUGUUUGCAUACGUGCUCUAAUCUUUUGAAUAGCCUCAUUAGUAGACCGAACUAAUUCAGGUCCCAUCAAUCUAUGUUCACCAACCUCACUCCAACAAACAGGGGUUCUACAACAUUUGCCAUACAAAGCCUCAAAUGGUGCCAUACCGAUGGUAGCCUGGAAACUGUUGUUAUAAGCAAACUCCAUCAAAUGUAGAUGAGAGUCCCAACUACCUGGAAACUCUAUAACACAAGCUCGUAGCAUAUCCUCUAAAACUUGGUUCAAACGUUCAGUUUGACCAUCAGUCUGUGGAUGAAAGGCUGUACUGAAAUCCAAUCUCGUACCCAUAGCAGUCUGAAGUCCCUUCCAAAACUUGGAAGUAAACCGUGCAUCCCUAUCAGAAACAAUCGAUACAGGCACUCCAUGCAGUCUCACAAUCUCAGUUAAAUACAACUCUGCCCACUUACUAGCAGUAUAAGUGGAUUUUCCUGGUACAAAAUGUGCCGAUUUCGUAAGCCUGUCUAUGACAACCAGAAUCACUGUGAAACCCUUCAGGGUCUUAGGCAGCCCUGAAAUAAAAUCCAUCGACACAUUCUCCCACUUCCACUCUGGCACACUUAAAGGUUGUAAUAAACCUGCUGGUUUCUGUCUAGGUGCCUUAACUUGCUGACAUACUAGACACUUACUAACAAAUUCCGCCACUUCCCUUUUCAUAUUCCGCCACCAAUAAAAUCGUUUUAGAUCCUGAUACAUUUUCGUGCUACCAGGAUGCAUGGAAAAUGGGGAAUUAUGGGCUUCAUCUAGUAAGUCAAUCUUAACUGUACUGUUCGCUGGCACACAUAAACGUCUCUCAAACAUCAACCCACCAUCAGAGGAUAUGGAGAACUCAUCAGUCUGCCCUGUUUCAACAAGGCGACGUCUCUCCAUCAAAUAAGGAUCAUUACUCUGAGCAUCAACAAUCUUGUGCCUCAGAGUCGGUUGCACCGUUAAUUGAGCUAGCUGUGAGGUGACUCUCCCCACAGACACUGCAAUCUCAGCUCUCUCCAAGUCUCGAUGCAAUGGUACCUGUCUAGUAAUGAGUGCUGCCGAAUGUGAUACUUUUCUACUAAGAGCAUCAGCCACCACAUUCGCCUUACCAGGAUGGUAUAAUAUCUCACAGUCAUAAUCUUUUACCAACUCGAGCCACCUUCGCUGUCUCAUAUUCAACUCCUUCUGAGUGAAGAAGUACUUUAGGCUCUUAUGGUCAGUAAAGAUUUGUAUCUUUUCACCGUACAAGUAAUGUCUCCAUAUCUUCAAUGCAAAAACCACUGCUGCCAACUCCAAAUCAUGUGUGGGGUAGUUCUGCUCGUGACUCUUCAACUGACGAGAGGCAUAAGCAACCACCUUACCUUUCUGCAUCAAAACACAACCCAGUCCUUUCUUGGAAGCAUCACUGUAAAUCACAAAACUUCCAGAUCCAUCUGGUACAGUAAGGACCGGUGCAGUAACUAACCUUUGCUUAAGGUUCUGAAAACUAUCCUCACAAGCUGGACUCCAAACAAACGGAGUUCCCUUCCUUGUCAACUGAGUCAAAGGAGUAGCCAAACGUGAAAAAUCCUCCACAAACCUCCGGUAGUACCCUGCUAAACCCAGAAAACUACGAACCUCACUAACUGUAGAGGGUCGAGACCAACUGGUAACCGCUUCUAUCUUUGCAGGGUCUACUGAAACUCCCUCACUGGAAACCACAUGACCAAGAAAAGCCACCUGCUUCAACCAAAAUUCGCACUUCGAGAACUUAGCAUACAGUUUAUUGGCUCGAAGAGUCUCUAAUACCUUAUGUAAAUGUUCCUCAUGUUCGACUUCAGUCUUGGAAUAAACCAAGAUAUCAUCAAUGAAGACUAUCACAAAAGUGUCCAAGAAAUCCUUAAACACCCUGUUCAUCAAAUCCAUAAAUACAGCAGGUGCAUUAGUCAAACCAAAAGACAUCACUAUGAAUUCAUAAUGUCCAUACCUCGAACGAAAGGCAGUCUUAGGAAUAUCACGGUCUCUAAUCCUCAACUGGUGAUAACCUGACCGUAAGUCAAUCUUAGAGAACACCGUGGCUCCCUGUAACUGAUCGAACAAAUCAUAGAUUCUGGGUAAAGGAUAUCUGUUCUUGACUGUUACUUUAUUCAACUCUCUAUAGUCAAUGCAAAGACGCAUCGACCCAUCCUUCUUCUUCACAAACAAUACUGGUGCACCCCAAGGUGACACACUAGGUCGAAUAAAGCCUUUGUCAAGCAAUUCCUGUAACUGUACCUUCAGUUCUUUCAACUCAGCAGGAGCCAUCCUAUAAGGGGCUCUAGAAAUAGGAGUAGUGUUUGGCUCCAACUCAAUGGCAAAAUCAACCUCUCUAUGUGGCGGUAGUCCUGGAAGAUCUUUUGGAAAUACAUCUGGGUAUUCUCUUACCACAGGUUCUGAAGUUAAAGAAGUCUCACCUUCCCUAGUAUCCACCACACUUGCCAAAAUACUCCAAGUACCCUGGUUGAGUAGUUUACUAGCUUUCAUAGCUGAGAUUACUUUAGGCAGUACUACUGUUCCUACUCCCUUGAAUUUAAAGCUAGAUGCAGUAGGGGGACUGAACACAACUUCCUUACGAGAACAAUCAAUACUAGCAUGAUUAGUAGCUAGCCAAUCCAUACCUAAAAUUACAUCAAAGUCACGCAUAUCUAAUACCAACAAGGUUACGUCCAGCACACGACCAGCUAUCUCAAUUUCACAUGCUUUAAUCUUUUCCUUAGACAACAUAAUUUCUCCAGACGGUGUAGACACUGACAAAACAUAGUCUAAGGGUUCCACCUCUAAGCAUGCAUGCGUCACAAAAAGCGAUGAAAUAAAUGAAUGAGAAGAUCCCGAGUCAAACAAGGUCAAGGCAAAAUGCCCUAAUACUGGUAAUGUACCUGUCACUACUGUGCCGGCCUUCUCUGCCUCUGAUCUAUUAGUGGCAAAGAUUGUACCCCGCUGUGGAGGUCUCUCUCCCUGACUGCUCGAUCCAGCCCCAGUAGAUCUCAAGGGACACCUAUCAGCCAUGUGUCCCUUCUUGCUUGCACUUAUAACAGACUCUCGUUCCCAUCAAACAACGACCCAGGUGGCGUUUCCCACACGUAUCACAUACUGGCCUCUCUUGAGUAGUGUCUCCUGCACCGCCAGAACUCUGCUGGAAACUGCGAAAAGAAUCACCUGGUCUCAUGUUCCUCUGAGGAACUCCUACAGUUCUCUGCUCUACUUUUCUCUUUUGACCCGACGACGAUCCCUUAUUAAAGCUCCUUGGCUGUCUUUCAUCCUUCCCAAUACUCAUAUCCACUGCCAGACGCAGUGCUUCAGCUUGGGUAGUGGGCUUUAGUGCUCGCACAAAACCCCUAAUUUCAUCUCUCAAUCCCUUGACGAACCUAUCAGCUCUAGCCUGCUCAUUACUAACAAGCUCAGGGGCAAAACGUGACAGCAUAUCAAACUCCUGGUCGUACUCCUCGACUGUCAUAUAUCCUUGCUUCAACUCCAAGAAUUCCUGGCUUUUGGCGUCUCUAAGGUUAGCCGAGAAAAACUUGGUAUAGAAGCAGUCCUUAAACUGAUCCCAGGUAAUCUGCCUCACAUCUCCACCUAGCAUGCGCAUUGUAGUCCUCCACCAGAUAAUGCCUCUGUCCCUCAGUAGAAAAGCAGCACACUGAACUCUGUGCUCCUCGGGACAUCUCAUGUAAUUAAAUAUGGUUUCCACAGAGGACAACCACAUUUCAGCUUUAGUAGGAUCCUCCAGUGACCCAUCAAACGUCUGAGGGUCAUACUUCCGAAAGUCCCUCAAAUGUUUCGCCUCAGCAGAAAGUUGGUUAGGUAAUUCUUGUGCAGGAGGGGCUGCUGGUGCAGGGGGAACUACAGGUGCAGGUGGGACUGCAGGUGCCUGCUGGUUUUGAGCUAUAGCUGUCAUAAGUUCUGUAAACCUCUGCUCCAUGUGAGCAGACAGUGCAUCAAACUCGACGUGAGUCACGGGUGCAGCAGGAAUUCGCUGUUCAGCUUGACCCUCAGUAGGCUGAUUACGACCUGCUCCUCUACCUCGGCCUCCUGCUCCUCUACCUCGGCCUCUACGACCUCCUCUACGUACUUCUUCCCUUGGCGGCAUAAUUCCUAUUAUCCACCAACAACACUCUUUAACAAAAUCUUAAUCAUAAACAUAAGCAAGUCUUUAUCGUCAUGCAAUCUAGUUUAAUUUAGGCAAGGUCAUGCAAAUAAACCAUACAUAUAAGCAUCAAGCAUACCUGACGAGAGACGAAGGGUCGCGUUUGCCAUAGGAACACAAAAACAUAGACUUACAUCGUAAGUCAGUCUACAGAACCUAAAACUUAGGCUCUGAUACCAACUGUAACGACCCAACAUUUCUAAGUAAGUCGAGGUCGUUAAUUUUUAACAAAUAAACUUUGAUUGAUACAAAUCAAAACGUAAGUCAAUUUAAAAAAAAAAACAAUGUCAGGCCUGAUUUUCAAAUAUUCAAGAAAACUUAACAAUAAUACUAUUUACAAAUAAAAGUUUGUAAACUAAGUUUUAUUACAUCUUAAACCUUAAAAGAAAUCAUAAGCGGAAGCAAAAUAACACGUUUCCUAUGGCAAUCACGCUUCCUUCCUGCCCCUCGCCGGUUUGCCGCCUUUAUUUCCUUUGCCUGAAAAUUAAACAUAAGAAGGGUGAGAUUUUAAAAUACUCAGUAAGAGACCCUCUACUGGUCUCGUCAGGGGAAAAUAAAUUGUUAAAGUUCUAUUGGGACACCCUGUACAGUCGCAGUCUUGUGAUCCCGUAGGAUACACAUUUCAGUCUAACGCCCCGAAGGACGUACAUAUCAGUCUAACGCCCCGAGGGACGUACAUAUCAGUCAAGUGUUCUGCAGAACACAUAUCAGUCAAAUGCUCCCGAAGGUGCAAAAUAAAUUGGUGAUCCCGUGGGACACCUACAAGGUAAUCAUCCCAAUACAACCUAACAAUUUAUCCCCUCAUUCCAUUCAACCCAUCCUUCAGAUACUUCAAAACAUAGAGUUCUUUCUCUCAACGUCCUAACAGUCAACUUAUCUCACUUAGGUCAUAUGUCUGUCAAUAACAUACUAAUACAUCAGUCAAUCAAACUAUACAGUCAAUACACCCCUCAGAUCACCAGCACACAGUCAUACUUUAGCGUAACGACACCCAAUCUAAACGACAAUCACAAGAUCGCAUCUGCAUCUCAUACAAGCAUAAUCUACAAUUUUCGUCCUGUCCACAUCCACACACAUAUAUAUAUAUUCCAUGACAAUCACAAUAUGCAUUCCACAUUAAGUCUACUUCAAUUCCUAUGCAUAUGUAUAUAUAUUUUCAGUCAAUCCACAGUGUACAUUCAGCACCGAAUCUACACCCAUACGUGUAUAAACAUAAGUAUCAUCUCAACAUCUUUACUCAGUCAAAGAUAAUCAUUUAGACAUGCAAUUCACAAUCAUAAGUGAGUCCAGUAGAAAAUCCCUUACCUUCAAAUUUGUUAAGCUCCUUAACCACGUUGAAGUCUAUGAAGAACGAACCUAAACAUUAAGAAAAUUUCUCAAUAAUUCCCUUCAACGCAUCAGUCAUUUAAAUUCAACCCAAUGUGAAUCUUUUUGCAACUUACCCAAAUCUUCGCGAAAGAAAUCGAGCAGUGGCUUUGCGAAGAGAUGACGUGCGGCGGAAAGACCGUAUACAGAUGGCCGGAGAGUCGCGCGGCAGUGCAGACGACGGAGGAGAAGAAAUCGGCGGCGGCUGGGCUGAAAACAGAGGAGAAAGGAGAGGGGAGACAGCCGGCGGUUACAGGUUCACGCGGCGGCCUUGCUUCGCGAACAGAGAUGGCGGCCGACGGUUGCAGCGACGUCCGGCUGGGUUUGGACGGAACGGAGAGGAAAAGAGAAGAUGGAGAUGGCCGACGGCAGUUGCUGUGCGAACGGAUGGGGCGGCUGACUGCGGUUGGCUGCGGCAGGACGGGAAGAAGAAUAGGGAAAAUGGGUGGGCGGCUGCUAGGGUACCGGAAGGAGAAGAAAAGAAAAAUGAGAGAGGGGUUGUGUGCGCGCGAGAGAGAGAGGUAAAUUUCUUUUUCUUUUCUUUUUAUUUAAAUUAAGUAUAAAAAUAUAUAUAUAUAUAUAAAAUUAAAAACAAAAUAUAUAUAUACAUACCUUUGGGGCAUUACAUUGUUGGUUGAUUUUAUGUUACGUUUAUGCAUGUUUGGAUUAUAUGCUUAUAAACUGUUAUGAUUGAUGUUUCAUGUCAUGUUAUUUUGACUAUUACAUGCUUCUUGGACUGAUGGUGUCUAUUAGCUUUGACUAUUAGGUUUUGUGUGCCCUACAUGUAUAGCGUCCCUCGAGAUCACCACGAUAUACAUUAUGGCUAUGUGCGUUUAAUAGGACCACUAGUCUAUCAGUCUCCUGGUGGGCCGAUGGGAUCACUCACAACCCGAUUUAUUGUAUGUUCCUUCGGGAUCAUCAAACUAUGAGUGUUCCUAUGAGAUCAUUAGUUCAGGUAUGUUCCACUGGGCACAUGAUAGUAUUAUUUUAUGGUACCUCCCAACAGGAAGUUAAUAGAACAUCUGGCGAGCGAUAGGGGGGCAUGUGACAUAUCAUAUGGAGACUCACUUUUGCUUCCACUUUACAUUAUUCAUUUUUUACUAUUUUUUAAUUUAAAGAUUUUAUUUAAAAAAUUUAUUUUAUUUAUUUAUUUUCUAUAAAAUUUGUAAAACUAGCUACAAUAUGUUUUCAUAGUAUUUCACGGAUUUUAUUAAUUUUUGUUUUAUGAACAUUUGUUUGAAAAUUAUUUUAAUAAAGUUUUAAGAAACUAUCAAAACACUUUUAUUUAUAUUUAAAAUAAUGACCUCAACUUAGUAUAAAAGGUUGUCUCCUUACAUUUUACAUUUUGGGCAUUGACAUUCUACUUCACUUUCUUAACUCAUACGUUAGAUGUAAUUUCAUCUGCAGACAAAUUUUUUAAUGCCUCAAGUUUGAAAUAUUUUGUGAUUUAUUGAGGUGUUUUUUUUUUCUUCCUCCUAAUUCUAGUUUAUCUUACAUUGUCAUUGGAUAUUAACACCAAUAUGCAAGUUCUAUUUUUUUUUUUUUAAUUUUACACUCAAUGUUAUUCUGAUUUACUUCAACAUUUCAAUUAGAAAAAAAAAUAUAGAGUAGAGGAGUCAAGGGGGAUGUAAUAGAACAAAAAUUAGUUUUUGAGUUUAUUUGAUUAAAAAAAUAUGUGUUUUCAUAAGAUAAUUAUAGAAUAAACUACCAAGAUGUUUUGGUUAUUUAUUCAUUUAAUAAAUAUGUUAAAUACAGAGCAUAAUUAUCCAAAUAUAAAUGUCAUAUCACACUUUAAUGGAAUUAUAGCACUGAGGACCAAAGUAAGUUCUUUUAAAAACAAAUUAGAACUAAAACCUACCUUUUUAAAAGUUGAAAAAUAGUAAAAGAAAUAAAAGUUGAAAAAUAGUAAAAGAAAAUAAAACAAAAUAGAUAUAGAGUUCAAAUUAAUAGGAUUUAAAUCUUUGUUUUCUCUAAAAUGUGUGUUUGUAUGAGAGUAAUUAUAGGGCUAUCAUUUUUUAAAAGGUAAAGGCAGCCAUAGCUUCUUUAGAUUUCCUUUGGUCAUUGAUUGACUCAAUAGUAGUAAUAAUUAGUUCAUUUUAACCUUUUGCACUAAUUAUCAAUUUGAAUUAUUUGUACUUCAUUGGUACACUUCAAAUUUAAAAUUUUGGUAAAAGCAAAAGUAGAAUAUCUAUUGCUAUUUAUUGCAGUCAAUUAGAAGGUUUGAAACUUAUAAAGUAUUAAUUUUAAAGAAAAAACAACAGUAAAAGUUAAUUGAUUGUAAUCUAUUAAUUAAUUAUAACGGUAAAAUUAUGCAUUAAAACAUUUAGUUUGACUAAAUCAUUUAUCAUGACUAAGCAAUUUGUUUUUAAUUCAGGUCAAAAAUAUAAAAAAAUAAAUAUAAUAAUUAUUUUAAAUAACAACAAAGUUAAAAAAUAUUAAAAUAUUUUUAAAUAUAGGAAAAUGUUAUUGACCAUAAAUAAUGUAUAUAGUGGUAAACAUGUAUUGAUAGACAUAAUCAUAGAUAAUGAUAUCAGUGUCAUCUUUCUUUAAGAAUACGCAUGAUAUUACUCCUAUUAUCGGUUCAUUGUAAAAAAAUGCAUUAUCGUUGUCAUAUCUAUUUGUAAUAACGAAAUCAUAGUUUGCAUGUUAAUAUAGAGUAAAAUAAAAAGAUGAAUGCAAUAAAAAAAUGUAUUGAUUAAAUAUUAAAAAGGAAAAUGAAGGGGAUGAUGAUGUAUGAUUGAUUUGCAUGCAUGAGAAAUAGAAAUAGAAGGGGUUAGGUUGGAAUAUAUCACAAUCUUGAGCCAUAUUGGCAAUGCCAAUUGGGACCCCAUUCUUCAUCCAUCAUGGGGGACAUACAUUUCUUCUUUGUCCUUUCCUUUUUACCCACUACCCCCAAUUUCUCACACAUCACAUUGGGAGAGAGACUUAUGAGAAAGAUGGAGACUUUAUGUGAGAGAACUUGAAAAGGACACCUUAUGCCAAUACAGAGUGGGUUUUUGAGCAAGAAAAGUUAUUUCUAUAAAAUCUCAAAUUCUUUAGAUCCCAUGGUAAAUUAUUUACCUCUAUCUAUCGGUAUCGCUCACAUUAUUGUUCCAAACUCGAGAGAUGGGAGAGUUUUUUUUCUUUAAUUAAUAACUUAACAUCUUUAAAAUCGAUAGAGAUAUGUUAAUUAAUUGAUCAACAAGAGAGACGGAUAAAAACUGAACGAGGAAAAGCAUAUAUUUUUACCUUUUUAAAAAGUGACAUAGCUUAAAAUGUUAAAAGCGUUUUAUCACCCGACUAAGAAAACAUAAAAUAUCUAAAUUGGUUGUACUUAGAGUGAGAAAGAGUUACGUUAGGGUUUUGUUUCUUUGAAAAAAAGAAUUGAACAUAUUAUUUUAAGAAAAAACUUGGUGCAUCCAUCUACGUGCUUCAUCUCUCCAUCCCAAAAGAAUAAUAUUAAAAAUCUUUUAUAAAAAUAAUUUUUAAUCUUGUUUUUGUGUAAUAAUCGAAUGGAUGCAAUCUAGAAUCGACCUAUUAUUUUAUAUGCUUUGCUUUUUGAUUGUUGAUGGAGAGAAUACGUUGCCUUACUUUUCCUUUCAUUCAUUACUUUCAUUGUUUUUUCCUUUCCCUCUCUCCUUUUCCUUUGUCCGACCAAAUUUCUUUGCCCACAAAGACUCUCCCUCUUUCCACAUCAACCACAUUCAAAGGAAUAGUUCAUCAUGUAGUAAAUAAAUAACUCAAGUACUAGUAUUAUGUUUUAAUUUUUUUUAUGUACUUUUAAAUAUUAUAAUACAUAAAUUUUUAACUCCAGUGAAAAUUCAAACAUAACUUUACCAAGUUCCUACUAAUUAAUGACCAUUUAUAUGUAUAUAUAUAUAUAAACAAUGGUAUACUGAUGUUGAUAUUUGUAUAUUCUUUAUUAGAGUUCUAUUGACAUAUACUACAGAUGUUGGUUUGUCUCCUUGACUUCAUAUUAUUAAGGUAACUACAUGUAAAAACAAACUAUCAUUUUAAUCAUUAAACACAAGCCUUAAACAAAAAAAAUAUCAAAUAAGUAUAUUAGUGGUAGACUUUUGUAUAUAACCAUCUAUCAAUGAUAAUGAUAAAACAAAGAAUAGAAAUGUAAUUAGUGUGUGAUAGAUAUGAUAUAUCAUGGUUUAUUAGUGAUAUAUAGUACAUUAUUGAUAUUGUCUACAACUUUCAUUCACUCACUAUAAAAACGUCAUAACUUCUACCACACACCUUACAUAGUUGUUGAGUCAAUGUUUAUAUGCAAACUUGGUUGAACCUCAAUAAUUCAUUUUCUAGCAUGCUCGAGUAAAUAUACGAUAAGGAUGAAGCUAGUAUGCCCUUUCUUUAGAGGAAGUCGCUAUAUCUCUCGUGAUGAUACAUAUGAAAUUUCUUUUUAUGUUUGUUUUGUUCUCAUGUUAAUGUUGGGUUGAUUUCUAAAAUGAAUGUUGUUUUUUUACUAAAUUCAAUGCUUUCAAGUAAGAUCGAUGAGUUGGAAAAAAUCGUUAACAUUAGAAAAUAAAAAUUAAGUCUUCUAUUGUUAUCAAUGUUAAUAAAUAUUGAUGUAUUAGGUUGAACUUUAAAAUAAAUAUUUAUUUUCAUACUAGGUGUUGCAUAAAAUAUAUGAAGUGGUGAUGAAGUUAUGAAAGCCAUAUAACAAAUGAUUGAUAAAUAAGAUUUCUUUUGUGGGAUUAGUAGAGAAACUUGGCUGUGAUGUCUAGCUUGCUUGUACAUUGCUUUUAACUUGUAAAACUUUUACCAAUUGUUGUUAUAGUUUCUUUGUAAACAUAUUGUCAAUUAUGUAUGAAAUUAAAGUUCUUUCACUAGUAGAAAAAUAGUCUACUAUGACAGUUGUAUAUAUCCCAAAUUGAAAGGAGAAAAUAAAAAACUGUCACAAAAGCUAAAAAACCGCGUUUUUGGCGGGAAAAGACGGAAUUUUUCGGAUUUUACUUUCCGCGACAGCUAUUUGGUGUCAUAAAAGAUACAAAAAAUAUUUUAUUUAAUUUAUUAAAAUAAAAUUUAUUUUAAAUAAAAAAUUUAUUAAAAUCAGAUUUUUUCCUAAUUCUAAAAACAUUAAAUAAUUUAUUUAUUAAAAUAAAACAUCUCCAAAACUUUUUCUCUACCUCCUCCUCUUCUUCUUCUUCUCUUCUUCUUCUCUUCUUCUUCUUCUAUGUGGAAGAUCCACACGUCCCCUCUUCGAUUUUUCCUCCCUUCCGCUAACCAUCUCUCUCCCUCUCUCACGUACACCGGAAAAGACUAGACUUUUGGUCAACAACGUGCAAAAUCCCUCUCUUUCUCUCCUUCAACCGAUGCAACCACCCAACACCCCUUGCACCGCUGAACUCACUGGUGAAUCUCAACCAUUAUUUCUAUUGUUUGUAUUUAUACAUUAUAUUAACUUCAAAUGCUUUCAUUUUACCCACAAUGUGAUAUAUUGAUGGUUCUUUUUAUGAAAAACACCCCUCAUGGUUUUGCUUUUAUAUGAGAUAUGUGUUUGUUUUGUCUACCAUCCUAUUCAAUAUUGUUGUUUACAAUCAUUUUUCUAAUUUGAAUCUACAUUUUUUCUUUAUGGUUGACUAUGUGAUGAAACAUUUUGGUAGCUUACAAUGUGUUUGAUGAAAUGCCUCAAUGAAGCAUUUGCUUGAUUUUUUAUUGAUAUUUGUUCGUUCGAAUUAGGAAAUCAAGGUCAAGGGAGAUGUCAUGGCUAUGGGCUGAAGCUUUGAGAAAAAGAGUAUGAAAAAUGAAAUGUGAGAUUUUAAACUUUGAUAGUGUGUAGGGUCUUUUUGUUUGUCUAUGCAUUUUCCAAAUGAAUUUUAGUACUUUUGAUUUUUCUAUUGAUAUUUUGUUUAUGGUUGCUAUUGAGUUGCUUUGAUUGAAGGAUAGAGGGAAGUGAUUAUUGAUAAUUAUAGGUAUGUUCUCUCUCCCUUUCUUACAAUAAGGAUAGUAGCAACAAAAAUUACUACAUGUUCUAUAUUGAAAGGAAAAACAAAAAAAUAAUGGUGAAUGAAGAUUUAUUUUGUAUGGUAGAAUUUUAUUUGUCACUUACCAUGCUAGAUCUUUCCAAGAGGAGUAAAUUUGAAAAUGUCGAAAUACACCCUCUGCUUGAAACAUAAACCGCGAUGUAUGUUAUACACAUUGGAAAUGUAUGAAUGUGUAUAUUGAAACUUAAGCCUAUACACUUUCCAAGAGAAUUUAUGUAUGUUAUCUAUUUGGUUUUUGGCUUUAACUUUUUGAAACUUAAGCCUAUACACUUUUUUUACCUCUACUUUUUAUCAACGUUUUUAAACUAUAUUUUCUUCCUAUGACUACCUUAUGACAUUUUGAAUAAUUGAUUGAAUUGAGGAUUAGCAUAAAGUUCUCUUACUUCAAGGACGUUGUCGUUAUUUGUUCAAGUAAGUAGUGUCUACCUCCCUACCAAAAUACAUAUUCAACUAUUGUGGUUUAAAGUAUAUUUUGUAUAAUUCUAGUCUCGUUGAAAGUGUUUUAGUCUAAUUAGUAUGGUAUAUUAGUAGUAUAUCAAUGUUUGCUUGAAUUAAUAUCAUCCAAAAUCUCCAUAGUAGUUCUUUCCUUACUUUGAAAGAUCUUGUUGUUCCUUUCCAACAAUAGUGUUGAAAAUUGGGGGGGGGGAGGCGGGAUUAAGGGCUUUAUGAGAGUUAUCAACUCAACUUUGUCAAAUUGUCAUGUAAAUGGAGUACGAUUUAAUCAUUGAACAUUUUUUCAUACUUAGGGCUUGAAGAAUCCUCGAGAGAGUGACAAUACUUGUUGAAUUUUUAUGAAAAUGCAACAUUGAAAAGGUAUUACUUAUGAGUAUUUAUGUUCAAUCUUAUUUUGUUGUGAUCAAUUGAGAUGCAUAAUAUGCACUAGAAAUUUGUUAAAGUGAUAGACUUAUAUGUUUUUUUGAUAGGGUUGGAAGGGCUCCAAGGUACGUUUUUAACUAUUGAAUUACAAUGAAAAUUGUUUGGAUUUGUUAGUUCAAAGUUUAAAUUGAGUUUAGCUUGUGAAACUCAAAGAUUUCAUUUGUAUACUGAUUAUAUAUGUUGGUGUUGAAUAGUUUAUCUUGCAUGUACCUAACAAAAAUGAUUAUGUUUGCUUGAUUAUAUUUCUAUUUGUCAAUUUUCUUAAAGGUUUUGAGUGAACUCAAGUUUAUGGUAGAUUGGGGUACAUUAAAGUUUAUUGAACUUAUUUUUCAUUGUCCCAUUACAUAAUGUCCUAUAUAAGGUGUGUAUAUAUAUAUCUUGUUAUAUUUUUUUAAUAUUUCUUAAAGUUUAUAAACCAUGGAAAGUAAGAUGAACAGUAGUUUCUCGUUAGCUUUUGUUUCUAGAGACAUGUCUUUUAUGUACAUAGUUCUCUUUAGGGUUUGUUGAAAUUGGUUUGUUGUGAAUAUCUAUGGAUUUUAUGAGAGUCACCAAAAAAAAAAAAAAAAAACACAAUGGUUUGUUUAUCCCACAUUGUUCUUGUAGUGUACCAUUUUGAUCAAUUAUGUUAAUAACAUGUUUUGAAAUUGGAGCUUCUGCGUUUUGUUGUGUCGUUUGUUUAUUGAUUAAUGGUAAUUUGUAGUAUCAAGUCUACCCUAAUCUAUUGGCAUAUUUGAGGAGAUUGUUGAUUUUUCUUCCCCUGUAUUUUACUUCUUCAAGUUAAACUAAGUGAAUAAUGAAUCCCAUUUCAUUCAUUUUUGCUAUUUGGUAUCUCAUCGUAUUUUUUUUUUUUAUUAAAAUGAAGUUUGUUUAAUGAUCAACAUUGAAAAGGUAUUGCUUAUCGGUAUUUAUGUGCAAUCUUAUUUUGUUGUGAUCAAUUGAGAUGCAUAAUAUGCACUAGAAAUUUGUUAAAGUGUUAGACUUAUCUGUUUUGUUUUUUUUUUUAAUCGGGUUGGAAGGACUUCAACGUACAUUUUGUUAAAGAAAAUUUGAUCUUUAUAUGGCUAGGUUGAUGAGUUUCCAAUUUCAAAAGUCUACCUAAAGCUCUAUUGUUUGUUUAACUCAAAGGUAAAAAAAAGUAAAGUAUGUGGACUUGCACCGAAUAGAGCCAUGGUAAGUUUCCAAUUUCAAAAGUUUACCUAAAGCUCUAUUGUUUAUUGAUGAGUUUCCAUAGAAUUUUGAAGGUUUGAGAAGAGUUGUGGAAAUUUGGGACAAUACCACCCUCCUUACUUGUAUUUAUUCUCAUUCUUAUUAAGUUUUUCUAACUACGUUUCUUUGGUCCCUCAAGGAUAUGUCAGACUGUUCAACUUUAAGGACUAAAAAUUGUCAUACAUGUAUUGUCGUAGCGUUUUUGUUGUAAGGACUAAGAACGACCCAACUUUAAGGACUACAAAUGGUUAUUUUGCUCUACUUUAAACAUUGUGAACUUUUCAUUGAUGAAAUUUGCAUACCUUGGAUAUUUUCUUUUUGAAGUACCUUUCUUAUCAUGGACAACAGUGCAGUAAGCCUAGGGAGGAGGAAACUUCUUCUUUGGCCGGUCUCACAUUUUUCAAUGUAAUAGGUUUUAACUUAAGAGUAGAGUAUGUACAGAUUCUCAGAGCUAGUAUUGACAAUGGGAUGAUAAACUAAAUUUCAUCGAAGAAGAGUUAACCAAAGAAUAGCUAAUGUUUGUUACUAUAUUUAAUUUUGAGAGUUUUAUUGCAAGAAACAAGGGUGAGAGAGUGUUUUGCAUUCUUAUACUUGAAGCAUCGAUCUCAUCUCACUUCUUGUUUUUCUGCUUGUCAUGUAAGCUUCGAUCUCAUCUCACUUCUUCCAUCGUGUACAUGUUUGAAGAAACCUCAACCCAAGUAACUAGGAAAAAUUAGUUUGUGGGAAUUACUUGUGAGAACAUGAUUAUAUAUUUCAUGGUUGACAUUUUGCAAUUGACAUUUUGCACGUACAAAUGAACACCAUCAUUUAUAUUCAUGAAAAAUAUUCAGGAGUGGUUGUAUAUAUAUUGGUUUGAUGUGCCCUAAACCUCAACCCUAUCUAGUGCUUUAUGCACACAAACACACACACUUGAACUAUCUGUAUUUGUCUCUUUUUGUCUCCAUGAAUAAUGAGAAGCCAAUACAAACAGAUGAAUUUUCUGUUUGGUUCUCUUUCUCUAUCUCGAUGUUGGGAAAAAGCUAAAUAUUUGAGGCAUUGAUUUCAGGAAUUGGUGCAAGGGUUUGAUCAAGAGGCUGCUGCAGUUGUUGUGGCAAGAUUAACUUCAUCAAAAAUGGAGAUGGAGGUAUUCUUAAAUGCUUAUAUCCCUAAAAAUGCUUAUAUCACUUAUACUUAUUCGUUUACGUCACCAAUAAUUCUCUUCAACAUUUUACAUUCACAUUACUACAUGGUAGUCCUCCAUUUUCUUCUUUGUUGUGGUAAUGUUGGUUCACAAAUGUAUGUGUUAUGGAUGCUUAUAUUCAUGUUGUCUUUGUAGGUUCAACCGGAGUCGACAACUUCAUUAGUUUUCUUUCAAAGAACAUUUUCAAAGACGAACAUUCUCGGUUGGUCGUUUAUGCUUCUGCAGAAAAUCUUGUUAGAUGUAUUCUAAUGCUAUUUAAAAUAUUUUUUGAUUAAGGGUUGGGAUUUCGUACUUGUAAAUUAUUGACACUUGAUUGGAAAUGUACGAAUAUUAUAAAUUGUAUUAUAUCGUAUAUAUAUUAAAGUGUUGGCUACUUUUUUCUAUAUGGGUGUCAAUAUUAUAAAUUCAAAAUUAUCACUCUCAGCUACAUUAUUGUCAUUCAAAUGGUUCGUGUAAUGGUGGAGCGGCAAGGAGAACCGGAAAAAACUGUAGUAAAUUGAGAAAUUUGCAACAUAAAAUAAAUGAUUAAUUAUUGUCAAUCCGAAAACAAUGACAGUUGUUUAAUCAAAUAAACUGUCACGAUUACCCUAUAUGUGACAAAAAAAAUGUCGUCAAUAGCAAAACAAUGACAUUUUUAUACAAAAAAAAAAAAACUGUCGUGAUUAACAUAUUCAUGACAAUUAAAAAAUGUCACAAUAAAUGAAUUCGCGACAUUUAUUUAACCGUCGUUAAUACACAAAUGAUGAUAGUUAUUUGUUGUCAUAAAAUAAAAUAUGACAGUUAUUUGACGUCGUUGAAUUCUGAUUAACGACAUUUAUUUCAUGUCAUAAAAUAACUUAUUGCGACAGUUUUUAAAAACUGUUAUUGAAGGACUUUCCAUGACACCCGCUUCUAUGACUGAAAAUAACUGUCGCGAAUUUCGUUUACGACAGUAAAUAACUGUCGUCGUAGACCACUUUUGUACUCUCCACCUUGGCGAGAUGACUUCCAUCACUUAUGUCCCGAAAGGAUAACAAGUGUGGGUACUUGGCGCCGAGAAGUUGACACCCUUAAAAGAGAGGUACUAUAAAUGUUGUAAGGUAAAUCCUCCUAGAUGUAUCUCGCUUACACUCAAGCAGCUUUAUCAUUUGCAUCUCGAGAGGCGAGCAAGUGUGGCGUUUAAAACACUAAGAGGUGCUCGCCUUAAUUAUAAGCUAGUUAAUUAAUUAAGUUGUAUUGCAUCAAGGUUGCCGCACAACUUAAUCACCUAAUAACACAGAGACUUUCCUUCACCCCUUCUUACAUACAAGUUAGUUCACAUGUUCACAUCUCACCUCCAUUCUAAUUUUCCUUUUACAAGUCCUCUAGUGUAGAUAAGUAGGUAUAGUUUCAACUUACACUUUAUUAUACUGUAUAGACAGUAAAGGUUAUAUACUGCCCAAAUGACAAGAGUGAAUUCUAGAACUAAACUUUGAUAUUAAUUCUCUAUGUUUGAUCCUAGAUUACCCAUGAAACUCAUUGUUUUGCUUACACUUCUUGGAUAAGCAAUUGAAAAACUUGUACUCAACGAGAACGUAGUAUUUACAUGAGGAUGGGAUACAUAGUGAGCAUUAUGCACGUAAUGAUCAUGAUCAAUGACUCACCACGUAGAUUUAGAUAUAGACAUACAGAACACUGCACAACUGAGUUUGAACAAACAAGUAGUGCCCCUAUAGACAACAUCUUAACACUAUUCUUGUAUAUAGGAGCAUUCUAUCUUCCUAAGAUUUCUAGCUACAACAUUCCUUGAUAAGACUCUAAUGCUCCAAAUUGUUUCUUUGGAUUUUGAACAUUCCUAAAUAUAUAUGGUCCGAAUCAUCAACUAAAUCUCUCAAGCACGUGAACCACUCAAAUGAAUCCUAAACUAUGAAAAUCUAAAGCAUAAGAGAACAGAAUGACAUUUUUGUAUGGUAUGAAAGUUGAACCAAUUUUUUUAAUGGUUGAUUAGAUUAUGGAAAUAUUUUAGCUUUCUUUACAAGGUAAGAGAAAGAAAAAACAAACCCUAAUUAAUAAUUUAAAAAAAGAAACAAUAUAUAAAAGAAGAAGAGAGGAUUUGCAAAUUUUUGAUGACUUAAGAUCGUAUAAUAAGUCAAAGAAAGAUUUCUUGAGGAACCGUCCAAACAACAAAAAGCCACCACAAAAUUUCCACUUUUUUUUUUGUAUGAUCUUCCUCCCAUUUUACCUUUUUCUUUUCAGAUUCUAUAUCUGAUUUUUCACUUUUAUUAUAAAAUUACAACAACACCCACCACUUUUUUUCUGACCAUAAUACCCCUCUCCAACUUUUUUCUAUUUUCCUUUUCUUCUAUCAAGUUAGGACUUUAUGGGGAUAGUCAAUCAAAGUUGUUAUUGUUGAUUAAUGCAUGUCAACAACUAUUUUCAUUUCAAAAUUAUGAAACCCUUUUGGUACUAUAUAUUUUCUAAUGAUAGUCUAAAGCUUGGUGUUUUGUUGCUCAAGAUAGACAAUUCUCCCAUUAUGUAGGCCAUUUAUGGGAUAAAAACAUAUAUACUAAUUUAUACUAUUUACAAUAAUAUAUCUCUGCCUUUAUUAUUGCGAUUAAAUAAUAGUAAUUUUAUUACAUCUCAAAAUUUGUAAAUGUACAACUCAAUUGCAAUCAUAUUUUCAACAUAUAUUGCUUGCAUUAUUAAUUUAUUCUACCUAUUUUAUAGUAUGUAAUCUCAUAUCCAGUCCAUUAUUUUUUACAACUAUGCCUGAUUAAUAAUUAUAUGACAUGAUGCAAUCAUAAGUAUUUUUGUGAUAAUACGAGUAGGUGUUUGUUAGUAUAAGCAUUUUAAUCUUUGUUAUCAUCACAUUUAAUUUAUACAGACAUAUAUAUCUACUUGUUUUACUCGUUGAAUUAACUCCAACAACUUUUAUAGAUUAUGACCUAAUAUAUAUAUGUAUAUUUAUUCUCAACCCUAUUAUUACCCUAAAUAUUUAUCAUAUACUUUACUUUUCAUAUCUUUUAAUGACACAUGUAAUGUUUGGGGAGAUAAUGUAGAUAGCUAUAGCUUAGCAAAAGUAGACCCACACAAAAACAUAGUAUUUACAAAGGACAUUGUAGUAAUUUCACUCAACCCCAUUUAGAGCAUCUUCCAUAUAUACAUACUUAAAUGUCAAGUUUUUUUUUUUCUUUUUUUUUUUUUAUUGUUAUUCUUCUUAGGUUCUUAGACAAUUACAAAUGUGUAUGGAAUUUUUCAAAACCCUCUUUUCCCCCAUUAACUUUUAUUGAAGCUUCUUCACCUUCUCUCUCUCUCUCUCUCUCUCUCUCUCUCGUCCUUCUUAGGUUUUGUUGCUGGUUAAUGGAUAUUGAACCCUUGUGGGGUGUUGGGGGGUGGUUUUUUUUCUUAAAUUGCAUGGCAACUGCUUCACAGAAACAAUCUUCAUCUCAUUUUUUCGUUCUCUUUCUCUCUCUUUUCUUCUCCUUCCUCCUUCUUCUAACCCUCAUUUCCUCUCCUCCUUCCAUGGCCUCAGACCGCCAUCACCGCCUUCUCUCUGCCUCCUCCACUGCCUUCCAUCCAAAGAAAUCUCGACCUCGAACAACCUCCCCUGCUACCGUUGUCGGACAGUUCGGAGCUGAAGCCCAUGAAGUUCCUAGUGGUCCAAACCCUAUAUCCAACUAAUUAUGGGGAAAGAACAAAGGCAAAAAAAAAAAAAAAACAUUUGGCAGAGGUUUGAUGUUUUUAUGUUUUGUUUAAUUGUCGCUGCUGAUGAUGCUGUCUUUAUUUUUUAGUUUUUUUUUCUUUUUGUGUUAUUUUAAUUGUAUAGCGACAAAUAUACUGCAGCGUUCUUCUUCUUUUUCUUCUUCUUUCUUCUUUCUUCUUUCUUCUUUCUUCUUUCUUCUUUCUUCUUUCUUCUUUCUUCUUUCUUUUUUCUAUUUGUAUGUAAUAGCCUCUAUUUCUUGCAUAUAUAGAAGGUGAUGGUUUGGAUAUUAAUUAUUGUAUUAAAACUCUUUUAAUUAUUAGAGAUUUUUGAGAGUUUAAUUUCUUGUACGUGUUUUUCAUUGACCAUAUAUUAAAGAAUUAAACUUUUCUUGGCUUUUAAUUUAACCUAUAUAUAUGUUUGAGUUUAGAGGUAAUUUAUUAUGUAUACAUUGGUUUUCGAAUAUUCACAAUUUCUAAUUUUGUUGAUAAGCUUUUCGAAUAUUAUUUAGCUUUAGAGAAUGAAUUAAUUAGCGUAGAAUGUUUUGAGUUUAACUUUCUAGAAUUUUAUUUUCUAAAAUUUAUAUAAUUAACUCCUGCAUUUUUGUUCUCUCGUAGCUCAAGUUAAUUUUCAAGAAUACAAAAGUCUUUUAUUGUGAAAUCUAUGCCAGAGUUUUGAUUUCAAAUCUCUAUCUUAUUAAAGUUAAUGGUUUUUUUUUUUUUCCUUUAAGGUAGGAAUGGUAAUGAGAAGAUUUAAACUAUGGAAUAUCUUAAGUCUCAAAACAUCUUCUUGUCCAAGCCUAAGCUUGCUUUGGCUAUUGUGAAAUCUUUAAUUGAUAUCAACUUUUGAUGUAUUUACUUUAAGAUUAAAUUAAUAAACUUUUCAAAAUGAUAUUAAAUAUUACUCAAUUUAAUUAUCAUAGUUUUAAAUCUUAUUCAUUGCCACUGGUAGUGUACUAAUCCCUUUAUGGUCAAAUGAACAAGGUCUCUCAUUAAGAGAGUGUAAAAAAAAGAUAUGGGGAAUUGUAAUUCAAUUUUUUUAAGACAAUAUAGAAUUAGUUGUUAUGUGACAACUUUAAGUUAAAUUAAUCAGUGAAACGGAACAAAAAGGAAAAAAAAGAUACAACCCAACCAGUACCUAUAAGUACUUUCCAAAACAUAUUACAUACGUAAAAUUCUACCUAAAAACCUAUUAACUCCAAGGUGUUCAAUGCUUGAACUUUUGUUGCAUAUAAUAUUUAAACCCAUGAUAUAUAUUUAAAGUUUACAUAUAUAUAUGUAUAUUUGAAAGAUGAAUGAAUAAUUAGAGAAUCUAAUACAGAAGGGGGGGAUUUAAAUGUGAAAGUUUGGUAAAGAAUAAUAUAUAUAAAGCAGUGAAGGAGAAGAGGAGCAGAACUGACAAAGGGCAGAGAGAGAGGACCCCUUUUGUUUUUGCCAUGGAAAUUAAAUUAUUUGUACAACUUUUGAGACUUUGGCUUUUUGUCCUCUCUAAUACACAUUAUCCGAUAAAGUUGAUUAUUGAUACCACAAUCAAUAAUUUAUAUAUAUUAUAAUAUAUACUAGAGAGAGAAAAGAGGAUGUGAGGGAAACUAAUGAGACCCAAAUAAGCCUAUGAUUUGAUAAUAAUGAGGAUUGUCAUUUUACUGUUUUUGUUGAAAAACUUGAGAUAAGUUGUCUGCAAUCAUAGGUUUUAUCAGUCUUACCUAAUUAUUACACAUUAGUUUUUCAAUUCUUAUUUUGUCUUUUACUUUUAAUAAUAUAAUUUUUUAUUGUUUUUUCUUUAAAAAUUAACUUAUGGCAGCUAGACAAACAUACAAGUAUAAUCUUGCAUUAACAGCAGUUGAGGACAAUCAACAAGGUUAAGAUGGAAGCCAACAAGCCUCUUAAUUUUCCAAAUUAAAUGGAGAAGGUUGAACAAUGAAAUUAGAUUACAACACACGAGCUAGUACGUGAGCAACAAAAUUACACACAAAUGAUUUGUUACAAUAAGAGACAAUAUAAUUUUGUUGUGUUGUAUAUAUAAUUAGUAAUGGUAUUAUGGCAUAUCAAUAUAUACUUACACCAAACUUGAUUAAUAUUACAAUAAAGACUUUUUAAACUAAUAAUUAUAUCAAUUUAAAUUAUAAAUUUUCAAACAUUAAAACAACAAAGAAUAAGCUAAAUGUCUUCGACAUUCAACUCAACAUAUGAAUUGCAAAAUUCAAUCUCUCUUAACUAAUACUUAAAAAAAACACAAAAUUA
rnacentral:lncRNA from 1 species